GGGCAAAAGAGUUCCAAUAAGUUUGUGCUCAAAGAAUAUGCUAGGUAGAUCCCUUUCUAGUGCGAGCCUACAAAAAGACUAUUUCUCUCCCAUGUUGAUCAUCCAUUACAUCUUGCAGUACCAUCACCCCCGAGCUAGCCUCAUUUCUCAUGGCUUUCAUCUGCUGUUCGUCAAUCCACUGCAUGGCCACUGGUUGCUGGCGAAGCCAUGGAUGAUCUUCAACCGCAGGGUGGUUGUGCCUGAAAGCCAACAGCGCAGAGGGCAACCUAGCAUCUUUGGCAGAGUCUUGUAUGUCUCCUUGUAUCGGUUAUGGAUUAUACUGCAGCUUCUCCUGAGUUCAUCUACUGUUGUCAACUUCUAUAUUGCAAAGCAAUGACCACUUGUUUGAAGACUCACUAUAUUGCCUGCUAUUGUUCUUUGCUAUGUGUUACUUUGUUGCAUGCUCACAAUGGUGAGUACAAAAAGCUCAUAAGCUGCGUUAUGUCGUUAUCUCUAGUCAAGUGAGCAUUCUAUUUCUUAAUUUUUAGUUUGAUGAGACAUUUGAGUUUUCGCUGAUACCCCUAUGAAAUUUAAAAGGAUGCGGUAUGCCUACCGUUACAUGGUGAAAAAAAUCCCAUGAGCUACCUUAUCUCUAGUCAAGUGAGCAUUCUAUUUUUUAACUUUUAGUCUGAUGAAAGGCAUCUGAGUUUUUGGCUUUUCGCAGAUAUUGUUAUGAAAAUUAAAAGGAUGCAGUAUGUCUGCCGUUACAUUGAAAGCACUCUAAGAAAACGUGGCAAUUCGGGAGAACGAUUCCUCCAAGUCUUAAUUCCAUUCAUGUUUACUUUCUAAAUUUUAUCCAAAUCAGGCAAUCUCCCAUCGUGCUAUUAAAGGAACAGAUUAGAAACAAAUUUAGGCUCAGUCUCACACUCUCAUGUCAUAGCAGUUGAAUUGGGCAAGGGCACAGGGCACUACAUAACACUAACAUUUUGGAAAUCCUAAGAGCAUAACAUAUAUCACAUCCAGCUAGAUCUAGCAACUGCUCAUUCAUUCGCACUACAUUUUCCGCUUUACAAGUUUGCAAUUCACCAAGACGGAGAGGAAUUUAAUCAUUCACCCAAAACAACAACCAGAUAACCAAACUGACCUUCUUGACGGGAAGAACACAAAUUGUCCUGCCGACUACUCCGCCCUCUCCUUGGAGAACUGGGAGAUGUCGCUGUGCUUGAAAAAAUCCUCCCAGUUCCUCCCAUCGAAUUUCCUGUACUCGACAUGCUUCAGGGUGCCGGGGUCGACGCAGGUCACGGUGACGGCCACGCCGUCCGGGUUGGACCUCGGGGAGUAGAAGGAGGUGAUGCCGCAGACCUUGCAGAAGGUGUGCUUGGCCGUAUGCGUGCCGAAGGUGUAGGUGGUGAUGAACUCCUCGGAGCCGGCCUGCAGAUUGAACUUGGCGGUGGGGACGAUGAUGUGGGUGUUCCCGCGCAUGGAGCAGUCGGAGCAGUUGCAGAUCCACGCCACGACGCUCGCCGGGGCCUCGACCUGCCACCGCACGCGUCGGCAGUGGCAACCACCGCUGUGGACGACGACCGCCUCAGAGGCCAUGAAGAUCCGCGAGCAGGAGAGCAGAAGCUUGAGACUCAGUUCUUGCAGUUGACUCCGUAGUCCCGGUCCAUAUCCCCGCACCGCAGCCCCGCUCAGACUUAGGAUCACGAUUACAGCUCUGUACCAUUUCAGUAGGUCUAAUUAUUCCUAUAUAAAUUUCUCUCUUUUUUUUUCAGCGUACAAGUGGAGUUUCAAUUUCAAAAUCUUACAAGGUGAUUUUUUUUUACAAAAGUAUAGGUUGUUCCUACCAUUUCAUUGCAAGACAUGUGAUUGGAUAUGAUAAGAUGAAAUGAAACUUUUUAGCCCCUAAUGACAGCUUCAUCAGAUUUCAUACUCUUGGAAACAGUGCAGUUUCAUUCACAUGAAACUCCUUCCAUCUCUCUUCAUAAUUACCCUGCCAUAUCAUCACAUGAUGAUGUGUCAUUGUAUUUAGUGUGCAUGAAAUCUCAUGAAAUUUGCACUGGGACUACCCUAAUAUCAUGCUCUAUGUUUAAAAAUAUAUAUUAUAAUUUUUUACAAUUACUUUAAUGUAAACAUAUAUCUCUAAGUCAAUUUCAUAAUGAAAAUAAUCACAAAAAUUAUUAAUAUAUUUUUAACAUAAAUAUUACUUAAUACUUAACUUUUACACGAAGUAACAAUAAAGAAAAAUCAACUGGGUCAAUCAAAAUAGUUAAUGAAAAUAAUAUAAAUUUUGCUUAAGAGGUUAAGCAUGAUAAAAUGAUCAAAUUGACAAGGUAAUAAAAUGGACUUUUUGUCUAAUACAAAUAACAAAUUAGCUAAAAAUCUUAGAUGGCAACAUAAACUGUUUGAGCACUCCAUAAGGCUUGUAUCCAAACAGGUAACCACAAGGCGUCGCUAAGAACGGAUCAUGAGUGCAUCCGUCCGUAAGCGAAGGGUGUGUAUGUGCCCGUAGUUCGGUGGCUUCAGUCUGGUGUAAUGUAAACACAUCCAUUUAUUCUCAGUUUUCCACACAAAUUUCACUAAUAACCGGUAACCGCUGCACAAGCACAACUUAACAAUCCACAAACACAAAAAGAGGCCAGAAUUUAUUCAUGCACUAGGCACAUCGCCACAUCCACGCCGAAAUUAACCUGAGCAGUGACCACUCUACUUCUCCGCCGCCUUCGCCUUCGCCUGGUUCUCGAACCACUCCUCCCAAUUCCUCCCGUCGGCCUUCCGGUACUCGACGUGUCUGAGCGUGCCGGGAUCCACGCAUGCCACAGUGACGGCGACGCCGUCCGGGUUGGACCUCGGGGUGUAGAAGGAGGUGAUGCCGCAGACCCUGCAGAAGGUGUGCUUGGCCGUGUGCGUGCCGAAGGUGUAGGUGGUGAUGAACUCAUCGGAGCCGGCCUGUAGAUUGAACUUGGAGGCCGGGACUACGGUGUGGGUGUUCCCGCGCAUGGAGCAGUUGGAGCAGUUGCAGACCCACGCCACGACGCUCGCGGGGGCCUCGACGCGCCACCGCACGCGGCGGCAGUGGCACCCGCCGGCGUGCACGACGACCUCCUCAGCCUUGGUGGGGACGGAGCUACUCAUCUUGUAUUUGUGGCACCCCGCGCUGCUUGCUCUGGUGACUUUAAAAGAAGAUCUGGCACGGCUUGUGUAGCAGAGAGAGGAGCCGGCGGUGGGACUAAGCGUGGAAAUCCUCGCAAUCCGGGUGGCAGGGUGGGGUAGGUAGCCGCCGAGCUAGCUGCCAGUAGCUGGUGCCACGCGCUGGCCGCCAGUGAGCGGUGACCGCUUGGGAAGACGAUUGAUUAGACAGACACGAACACGACAAAGGAGAAAAACGCCGGGGGGCAUGGGCUGAGGCUGAUAGGCCCAUAUGGCCGUUGACUUGUUGCCCGGACAAUCCAGUUAUCUCGCUGUGUAGGCCACCGAUUUGCAAGAAGGUGCGACCGGCCCACGGCCCAUCCACCCAACGGCGUGGGCGGAGCGAGGUGGCCAGUGCCGGAUGGCACUCUUUAGAGCCUAUUUAGGACUGCUCCACUCCAGAUUUUGUAGCUCCACUCCGGCUUCAUGUUGCUAAAUACCUCCAACUCCAUCUAUAACAACUCCAAAAAAACGUGGAUCUGGGGGCAACUUCAAUAUUUUCCUGGAGCUCCUCAAAGGGUGCUCCAAAAAAUAAUUUUCAUACUUUCUCUUGGAGUUGGGUGAAAAUUACCCACCAAUGCCACCCUUUACACGGUAAUGUUUCGGAAAAAAAAACAUCGGCGCUUUCUGUUCCGCGAGACCGCGUCUCAUCUCGCGACUGUUCGUUUCCGCGCCACCGCCCCUCGCGUUUGCGCCGCCGAUCGCGAUUCUGCCGCCGACCCUCGUGCCUGACAUGCCAAUCCUCCACGAUGCGCCUGAUACUCCUCCGCCGCCGCUGCCAUCUCCCCUCCGGCGCCCGUUCCAUCCGUCGCUGCCCAUGGCCGAGCUCGGCCUGAACGAUGGCGCCCAAGCACUAGGCGCCGAUGAGUUGGAGGCGACCAACGUCCUAGCCGGCAGCCUAGUUGAGGGCGGGCGAGGCCUCACAGGGGGCGGCUGUGGCUUGGCCGUGACGAUCGGUUCCCUGGAGAUCGGACCUGAAGAAGACUUUGCCUUGGCCGUCCUGGCCGGCGGCGGUCCUAUCCUGGGGGCGGGCAGCCGUGGCUUGGGCGCGGCCGGCCAUGUUGUGGGGGCGGGCGGCCGUGCUCUGUCCGGUGGUGGCCGUGGCUAUGCCACGACCAGCAAUCCCUUAGUAGGUGGUGAACCUGAAGACAAUGGCGGCAGUCGUGUCCUGGGAACUGGCGGGCGUGGUUUGGGUGCGGCCGGCCGUGGCCUGAUCGGUGGCGGUCGUGCCCAUGCCAGCAGCAGGCAGCCCCUGACCGGUGAUGAGCCUGACCUCAAAGAGGUCAUGGCCGGAGGCCUGGCCGGGUUCGGCCGUGGCCAGGGGGUGGGUGGCCGUGGCCUGGCCAAAGGUGCCCGUGUCUUGUGCAGGGGCAGCCACACCCUAGCGGGGGUUGACCCCGACCUUGAAGAGGCCGUUCUUGGUGGCGAAGAUGCAAGUGUCGGCCAUGGUCGUGGGAAGAAGCAGCUAGGAAGAGGCCGGGGCCAAGGACAGAGCAAGAAACCCUCCAAGGCAACUAAGAAGAAUGAAGAAGAGGAGGUAUGUGAAUUAUCCUUUAUCCUUGAUGUAUGUUUCAUCUACGUUGAUACAAAUAAUUAAACAUUGACAAGAUGAAGUAUCAGUGUACAUAAUCAAAUAGCAUGAACAAUGUAAAGUCACGCUAGAUUGAAAUAAGAGUGUAGAUUCCUUCAUGGAUCUUCUGAUUGUUACACUAGCAUUUAUGUUUGCAUUGUAUUGGCUCAUGGUCUGAAUCUAUAACGUACAUGAUCAGUAGAAAGUAAUGUAUUGACCAGAAUAAUAAGAAGUUUGUAUUGGCAUGAAAGAAGAUGAGUUAUUGGUGUAUACAUACCUACAUGAUCUGUAGAAUGUGAUGUUGUAAAUACAUGUAUAUAUAAUGCUCAGGGAGAUAUGAUGGACUGGACCGACGCAUACACUUCGAUCGUUUGUAACUUGUUUGCAGAACAAGUUAAGAAAGGGAAUAGACCAAAUACACAUUUGAACUCUGUAGGCUAUACCGAAGUGUCAAAUAGGUUUUAUCAGAUGACAGGAAUUUAUCUUAGCAAGAUGCAACUGAAAAACAAGUGGGAUAAGUUGAAGACAAAAUUAUCAGCAUGGAAUAGAUUAAUGAAGAGGCAAACAGGAACAGGUUGGGACAGAAUAAAGGGUGUGAUUGACAUGGACGAUGAGUGGUGGAGAAGGACAAGGAAGGUGAGGAUGUACUUUUUAAAAAAAUUUAAUGAAUCAUUCAUACUCCUUACUCACUCAUUGCUAACACUAUUUUCUUAUCUUUUUUUCACUACAGGACAAAAUCUCUGCAAAAUGUGGAUGAUUUGACGGUUAUGUUUGGUGACAUCAUUAAUGAUGAAACAGAUCAUUGGAACCCUAUGACUUCGAACCCUAUCAUACCCCAAAAUGAUGAGACUCCUAUUGAUGUAGACAUUGAUGUUGGUGAGAACCUUGAUGGUGGUGGGGAUGAUAUUCAUGUGUACCCAACAGAAGAAGACAAUGAAGGUGCUACUAUGAAUGACAUUGAGGAGGUGUCUCCAUCCAUUGGCAAUGGAAAAAGAAGAUCGAGGGUUAUCAUAGACAAACAAAAGAAAGCAAAAAUAGGAACCGCACUUGUCAUUCAGGAAAAAUUGAGUGAGAUAGCUGAACAAGCCAAGGCUUUCACAUCAAAGAAGGUUGGCGAAGUUACUGUUGAACAAGUAAUGGACCUUAUUUUGGACUGUGGAGCGGGGUAUGGUGCUGAUGAGCAUUUCAUUGCCACUGAGUUGUUUGUGAAGAAAGAUCAAAAGGACAUGUUCAUGACCUUUCCCACUAAGGACAUUAGAUUCGGUUAGCUUACGAGGAAAUUCAACGCUAAAUACGGGAAUUGAAGACUAUCAUUUGUGUUGUCGGUCGUCCUUUUCAUUAUUUUCGAUUGUUUGGACACCAUUUUUAUGUUAUUUUAUUAAUAUCACUUGAACUUUGUCAUCAUUGAACCUUUUGUAUUAAUGUCAGUUGAACAAUAAUGUAUUCAUGUCAUUUUGUUUCAUGUCUAUGUCCUGUCUAGUCAAAAUAUAUUCAUGUCAUUUUUUUUCAUGUCAAAUUGCAGGUGUCUGAGAGUGAGAGUCAUAGUAGUGAGGAGAGUGAGCAGUUUUGGAGUUUAGUUCUUGGUGGUGCUCAAGUAGCUCAAAGUUACGUCAAUCUUUAUCUAGAUUAAAACCCACCAAGAAUAUCAAAUCUUAGUGGCAUGGGAUGGUUGAUGGAGACAAUAAGAAAUGCGGGAGAAUGCCAUAGACAACUUCAUAUGAAUUAGAAUAUAUUUAUGGAUCUUCAUGAUUUAUUGGUGGGAAGGUAUGAAGUUAAAUCUUCCAUGCAUAUGAACACACUUGAGAUGUUGGCCAUUUUAUUAUACACUUUGGGUGGAAAUGAGUCAAAUAGGAGAGCUUAAAAUAGAUUCAACCAUUCUGGUGAAACAAUAAGUAGGAAAUUUGAUGAGUUCUUAUUAUGUUUGAUCGCUAUGGCAAAAAAUUUCAUUAGAACAAAAAAAUCCAAACUUCCCUACUGUCCAUAAAAGGAUAAGAGAGGACAAACGUGCAUAUCCACACUUUAAAGAUUGCAUAGGUGCUCUUGAUGGCACUCGUAUCCGUGUCGUACUGUCACCCGAGGAGAUGGUAAGGUAUAUUGCGAAAAUCGGAAUGGCAACCCAAAAUAAUUUUAUGUUUUGCUUGUCCCAAUGCUGAACAAAUAAUAACUUGUAUUACCUUCUCAUUUUGCAUGCACAUACUAUGUUGUUAAAGCGGGUUAUCCUAAUCGCCCUGGGUCUCCUUACAAGGGUGAAAGAUAUCAUUUACCCGAAUGGCAUAGGAGUAUGGAACCAAAGACUCCCGCUCCCACGGAAAGAUUCAAUCAUAUUCACUCAUUUAUUCGCAAUGUUAUUGAGCGAUCGUUUGGACUAUUAAAAAUGAAGUGACAAAUUCUCUACAAGAUGCCACCGUACCCUAUGUACAAGCAAAAGAUGAUUGUUGUGGCUACUAUGGUCCUUCACAAUUAUAUCCGUGAACAUGGAGGUGAAGACAUUGACUUUGAUCAGUUUGAUCGUGAUCCUAAUUACAUACCUACUAUCCCAGAAAGGUAUAACAAAUAUGCAGUUUCUCCCUUGGCGUUCGACCGGUCUACUUCGAAUGCCAAUGCUCCAACUAUAGAUGUAUUUCGUGAUGAGUCGGCCACCGCCAUUUCUCUUGCUUGGAACUAGGUAAUAUUGGUGUGAUGAAUUUUGUAAUUUCAUUUGGUGUCACACAGUUCAAAUUUUAAUUUUUUAUUGGAAUAUGAAGCUGUCCCUGUUCUCUAAUACGAAAAUUUUCCACGUGAAAAAAAGAACACGAGCAGUGCCGGAACGGCACAGCUACCUCACAAGCACGGUACUCACAUGCACGGUAGCGCAUGGAUUACUGUAGUGCGGUACUGUAGCGCGGAGAAAAACUCAUCCAAAGGGUAAAAAUGACUAUUCCCACUCGUUCCUACAAUUUCUAGAGCUGAAUUUGCAUCUGAAUUUGCAUCCAGUAACCAAACGGGUAUCUUGCUCCCUAUUUUUCUAGAGUUGGUAGGGUGGAGUUGAAAAAGGUAGAGUUGGUAAAAGCACCUACAAUUUUACCAUUCUUGCAUAAAUGAAGCAACAUAAUUGUCAUUUUUCUGACUUCGCGAGCCACGUAUUGUGCCAGCAUGGAUUGAGCAGGGAAAAUGACGUUGGUGUCCCUGCCCUCCUCACAUUGGGCAUAUUUUCCCCUGCAACAGACACGUGGGACCCGCACGUCGGGCUCAUCUUCAACCUCCCACCCGCACGUUCGUCCGUGCAGUGAGGUUGGGGGCGGCGACCGCUCGAGCCGCGCGCUCUGGGCGGCUCCGACGCGGCCGUCCCGGUCCCGGCCCGCCUGCCCAGUGCGGCACAGGCUCUCAUCAGCCCGCGACGAUCAUCUCCCUGCGCACGUGCUCCGGCAGCUGCAGCGUGAAGUGCUCGAGGCCGUAGCCGCGCGUGGUGAAGGAGUGGCCCGUGGAGUGCGACCACGGGACGAGCGGCGGCGUCAGCGACGGCCACCCCGACUGCGACCGCACCGCGCGGCGCUGGCUCCCGAUCCGCUCCAGCUCCAUCGCCUCCUCCCUCCUCCUCUUCCGUCGCCGACGUGAUCCGCGGCUGCAGCAGCGGCGAUGGAGUCCGCUCUGCCGCAGCAGCACCACCAGCAGCAGCCGGAGGCGCGGCCGCGACCGAUGCUCGCGGGAGGUGGGGCCGCCAAGAGCCGCCACCACGCGUACAGCCGCAAGGAGAAGUUGCUCACAAAAAUCCUCUGCUCCAUGUGAGCCUCCAGCAGCCUCGGCAUGCACGGUCCUGGUAAAUGGCGCGACUGCUGGCUGGAAUUGCGAACCUGCUGGCGCAGGCGGAGUUGGAUCGGAUUGGAACCCCGUCAGCGUCAGCUCGUGGAUUGAUUGGCUACGUCUUUCCUGCACGCUAGCUUUGGCCUCUGGGUGCUUUAGCGGUUGCCUGGUACCAGGUUGUUGAGCACGUGCGCGGCCCAGCUCAUCGUGUCCGAGCCUCCUGUAUUCUCCUGAGUUCCGCGAGGACGUGGAGUCCGUUGGGCUGGACGAAGCGGCCAAGAGAUGGGCAAUGGCUGAGAGGUUGGAGAUGAGCCUGAUGGGCGGGUCCCACAUGUUUGUGGCAGGAGAGAGGGGAAGAUAUUACCAACGUGAGGAGGGCAGGGGCACCACCGUGUCAUUUUCCCAGCUCAAUCCAUGCUGGCGCGAGGAUGUGACUCGUUAUGUCAUAAAAAUGAUAAUUCUGUUGCUUCGUUUAUGUAAGGAUGGCAAAAAUGUAGGUGCGAUGGCAACCGAAGGAGUCACGUUCGCAAGCAUGGCAAAUGGUUAAAAUAUUCCGCCCGCGCCAAGCCGCAACCGGCACGCCGGUCUGACACUCUGACUCGCUGUUGCCACCGCCAACGCCCGCCGCCCGCCUGCUCGCAGUUGCAGGACCAAUUAAGGGCCUGUUUGGAUACCACCUCAUAAACUUUAGGACACUCAUAAACUUUAGGAGCUAAAAAUUGGUACUCCUAAAAUUUAGGAGUGGGGUGUUUGGAUGGACUCAUAAUUUUUAGGAUGAUUGAGGGAAAAUGACUGUUGUACCCCUAAUUAAUGAGUAACUGCCGGUUACUUUCUACCGCCAGGGAUGCACUUUUGGCGCGAGCGAGCUGCCUUCGGCGCGGCGCGAGCGCGCGCUGCCUCUGGCGCGCAAGUGCUCCCUCUGGCGCACACGGGAUGCCUGCCUGGUUUUUUUUUCGUCCUUUUUUUUAUUUUGCCGGCCCUUUUGCUGGCGGCUUUGAGUAAAAAAUCGUAGUUGUCCAAAAAUACAACUCAAAAAUAUUUAGCACAGUCCAUCGUCAUUGUCAUUACAACUCAAAAAUACAAAACCUCUACAAUCUAUUGAACAAACCAUUAGCUAUACUUCACGAAAUUCAUUCAUAUUUUGAUCUCCGUCUGACUCUUCGAUAUUUCCGUCAUGUCCUUCAAUGCUUGAUUCUUCGGUCAAAGGAACAAAAUUUUCAUCACGAUCACACAUAUGGAAGGCCCUAUCCGCAUUAUCGUUCUCCCUAAUGAAAUUGUGAAGUGCCAUACAUGCUACUAUUAUUUUGCUUUGCUUUUCAAUUGGAAAACUUGGAAUUCCCAAUAAAAUCCUCCAUUUCAUCUUCAAAACUCCGAACGACCUCUCAAUAAGAUUUCUAAGUGAUGAAUGCGCGUAAUUAAAAGUCUCCUUCAUACCUCUCGGAUUUGGGCCACUCCGGAACUCAGGAAGGUGGUACUUCGUACCUUUGUAUGGUGCAAGAUACCCCGGGCGGUUAGGAUAUCCAGAGUCUACUAGAUAAAACUUCCCUACAAAUACAAAAGAGAAUAUGGUUAGCAAUAUUGGCAUAUAAUUUAUUUUCAAAAUAUUAUUGAGCAAAAUUGUACCUGGAGGAGGGUGUGGAUACUUGUCAGCAUAUUUAUUUAAGGCAUCACUGAAUACUCUCAUAUCAUGAACUGAUCCAGGCCAUCCACUAACAACAAAUGUGAAUCUCAUGUCGAAGUCACAAAUGGCAAGCACGUUCUGUGUGGGGUAUCCAUGUCUGCCCGUAUGCUGCACCACCUUAUUACUUGGUACCACAACUGGUACAUGAGUCCCAUCUAUAGCUCCUAUGCAAUUGUUGAAAUAUGGAGCAUACCUAGGAUUUCUCAACCUCUGGUGAAUUGUUGUAAACUGAGGGUCCUUUGGCCUAAUUAUAUCUACUACUAGCCUAAUAACACAUGACAAAACCAAAUCAAAUGUGCGGCUUAUUGUUUCCAAUGACCUUACAAACCGAUCCGCAACUUGUCUUAGUGAUUGGGGUGCACCAUUUAUCCAUAAGAAUAUAGCUAAAGCCUCCAUCGUUGACAUUCUUCUAGUUCCCCUCAAACCAUAAGACUCAACCAACAGGUCAUGAAGUUGGUGAAAUAAAGUGCAAGACAUCCUAAACAUGUUGUAGCAUGAGGUUGGAUUUGAUAGUGUCUCUUGCACCCAUUUUAUGCCUGGUACAGUAGGUACUCUAGGUGGCCCUUUGUGAUAGUAAGUGUCAUAGUACAUACCAAGCAUUAUUGAGGACUCCAUAAUCUCUCGAUUCCUCUUUCGACGUAUGAUUUCCAGCUCCAUGAACUUGCAUGCCAUAUUAAUGAAUUCAUCGUCAGAAUCUCCUUCACCAUCAUCCUAAUUCACCAUUAAAAAAACAGGCAUACAUUAGUCAAACAAAUUCUGCACAGUCACAUUAGUACUGCAGCCGAGCCAUGUUCACAAACUAAAAUCAAACAUGUUCGACAAAAUCAAAUAUUCCAGUACUCAAACAGCCACAUUUUGAAACAACCACAUAUAGAAACAACCACAAAUUUAAACAUGUCACAUGAUCACAACUUGAAACAGGCACAUAUUCAAGUUCUAGCAGCCGAAAUAACAUGUUCAGAAACCAACAAUUCAAGGUUCAAACAACCACAAAUCUAUACUACUAAAUUCUAAUCUAAGUUCUCCUUCUUGCACCAUCUUUUCAAGAAAGCCAUCCUAGCCUCUGCAUCAUCAAGGUUGCAGAAGAAUUCUCUGUUGAAUUUAUCCUUGCAUAUGUCCCAACAAGCAAACAUUUCAGCACUAUCCUUCCUUGCACCACAUUCUACUGCUAAUUGUUGGCAUCUCUUAACUUCAUCUGCCACUGAAUUGGUGUUCAUCUUCUGCCUCUUAUCUUCUGUGAAUUUGACAAUUGAUGCACCAACAUUCCUGAAAAUACUAUGGGUCACAUCAUCCUUCUCUGAUUGCCUGUUGAAGUAAUUUGUCACAGCAGUGAUCAUUGGGCUUCUAGAUUUUUUUGGAGGGCUAGUAGCAGUUGAUUUGGUGCUUGCAUUGGACCUCUUCCUGGUGUUUGAGCUCUUAGGGCUGUCAUAGAAAGAGGCAGGUUCACCAUCACAGUCCUCUCCACCAACUGAAGGGUCUCCAAUGUCAUCAUCUUCACCAUCUUCUUCUUCUUCCUCCUCCACUUCUGGAAUGUAUGCUGUGCUUCCAUCAACUACAGUUUCAUGAAACAUUUCUUCCAACUGAUCUAAGUACUCUGGAGCACCAUGCUGCAACUUCCUCAAAUCAGGACGUUUCUGCAAGUGACAUGUCAUUCUAAGUCAGGAGCACUACAUCCUGGAAAUUAAAGGGUUAGUACAAAAUUUAUGUCUCACCUGUGUGUGUAUAUCCCACCACCAAUUUGGAGCUAGCACUGUCCCAUCAGCAUUUCUACCUAGACCUAAUUCCCUCUGUAGGCCUUUCCAAAAGGUAUACAACCUUUUUAAUUGAUCUCUUCUAUUCCUAAGCUGCCCAAAAUCAUGCUUCAAACCAGUAGCCAUGUAGUACUUUUUCUGAAUUAUCUUCAACCCUCUAGUGGACAUGUUGCCUUUGGGACAGUUUCCUUCUCUAAUUUGCUCAACUGACAAAUCACAGAAUAUUCCAGUAUUCCUUUCUGUCCACUGUGCUUUGUCAUUUUUAAUCUAUUGGAUAAAGAACAGUGAAUUUCCAGGCAACACACAAAAAGCAAUCAACAAAUACAUGUCACUGACUCAGGAACUAUGUAAUGAAUUUAUCUAGACAUAAUACAUGAAGGCACUAAUUCAUGAAGCAACAUUUUCAGGAACUCACAAAUUCAACAUCUAACAAUUUCAGCAUGUCACAAUGGGAAUAAGUCACAGAUUCAUGAAGCCACUAAUUCAUCUAGCCACUAAUUCAUCUAGCCACUAAUGCAUGAAGCUCUGUCAUGCAUCUAGUCACAAUUCAAUCCAUUCCUGAAAAUUUCAGAACAACUUCCACAGCUAAUUCAUACUAUCAACUUCCACAGCUAAUUUCAUUCCCAAUUUCAGAACAACUAAUUCUAAAUGGACCCUAAAUUCAUACUAUAAAGUCACAGAUUUUACCUGUGAGGCAGGAAACACAACUUCGACAGCUGCAUCAUCAACAACAUUGUGUUCAUAUGCAUCAAAAGCAUCUUUUGGAGGGCCUGAACUUCCUCCACCACGAGCACCACCUCGACGGCCUCUUCCACGACUUGCACUGCUAGAACCACCACCGCGAAACAAAGAUCUUGCACGGCCUACUCCACCUCUGCUACCAGGCCCCCUGCUGCCGCCCGCCAUCCUGCUGCCGCCUGCACCUUGACUGCAGCCGGCCGCCUUGCUGCCGCUAGGUCCUAUGGUGUCGCCGGCACCUUUGCUGCCGCCGGCCGCUCUGCUCCCGCCGGCCCCUUUGCUGCCCCCACCACCACGUCGAGCCGCGGGUAAGCCAAGAGUACGGCUACCGCGGCCCUGGGGAACCUCAUCUCCCCGAAGGUACUCUGAGUAUAUGCUCAGAUCUGCGUACUCCUCAGCCUGGGAGUUGAGGUUCAAGUUCUCCAAGCCGUGACGGGGGGCACUGGAAGACUCGGACUGAGAGAAAAAAUCGAUUUGGCAGGGGGGAAUUUGUGGAUCGGGCUGGGGGAACAAAUCCUCCAAUCCGUCGUCGCCGUUGCCCGCCAUUAGGAAACGACGGAACUCAAGAACGGCGGAGGACUGGAGGGGUUGAGGAAACCCGGGAUCUUGUGGGGAUGGCGGCGGGGAAAUAGGGAUGAGGCGGCGAGGGAACCAGGCGGCGGGGAAAUGGGGAGGACGCGGCGGGGAACUGGGGAGGAGGCGUCAGGCAAAUGGGAACGAGGCGCCGAGGGAAGGAGGCGGCGGCGAAAUGGGGAGGAGGCGGGGAAAUGGAGACGAGGCGGCGGCCAAAUGGGGAGGAGGCGGCGAGGGAAGGAGGCGGCGGCGACCGGAGGAGGCGACGGCCGGAUGAGAUGGCGGCGGGGAAAGGUGGACGAGGCGGCGAGAGUAGGAGGUGGCGGCCAAGGGAGGAGAGGGCGGCAGCGUAGAUCCGGCCUCGGAAGGGGAUGGCGGCGGCGGAAGAAGUACGGGGAGGGCGGAGGGAGGAGGAGGCAGCGGCGGAGGGAGGAGGAGGCGGCGCAGAUGCGCUGUGCGGGAGGAGGAGGCGGCGCAGAUGGGCAGUGCGGGAGAAGAGCGGGGGAGGAUAGGGUGCGACCGUGCAUCCGUGGAGAGAGAAGGGGAGGGGUAGGAGGGGUAAAGGUUGGGUUGGGGACCACUUUUAUGAGAAAAAUGAAAGUUUAUGAUGGUUUGAUCCUCCUAAUGAAAACAGCACCCCUAAAGUUUAUGAAUACACUUUUAUGACACCAGUUUGGAUGCACAAGUUCUAAAAAUGACCUAAAAGUGAAGUCCUAAAGUUUACGAUGUGGUAUCCAAACAGGCCCUAAUCACCAGUCCCAAACACGCACAGGCAUCUCGGCACCACCGAAGCCUCGAGCCCGCCCCCCCUCCCCAACCCCCACCCGUGGCCUGCGCCGCGCCGCGGCGACCGGCCAUGUCCAUCGACUACCUCGUGCUAGGUACGCGGCGCCCGCCUCUAACACCGUUCGGGUGGAUGCAGGGGCGGGUCAGGAUGUGGGGAAGAGCUGAGUGGUGGCGACCAUCGGUGGGCGGCGCGUCAUGUUUGACUGCGGCGUGCACUUGUCCUACAAGGGCCGGCGCAGCUACCCGGAAUUCGACCGGGUCCUCGCGGCCUCCGGGGCCACCGACUUCACCACCGCCAUCUCCUGCGUCGUCAUCGCCCACUCGUGAGUGUGGCAUUUUCCUCCUCCCUCCCCUGGCGGUUUUCCGUAGGCUGCUAAGCUUCCCCUUAAUUUGCAGCCAUUUGGAUCAUAUCGGGGCGCUUCCCUACUUCACCGAGUUCUGCGGGUACCAUGGCCCCAUCUACAUGACGGUGAGCGCAGACUACUUUGUAAUCGUUGUUUGGAUUAUAGCUAGAACAAUUGUUUUGAUUUUGAUUCAAGUAAAUUGGGAUUCACCUUAGUUCAGUUUUAUUCCCCCCUUCUUUUGGUCAGCAAACUAGUCAGCUACCAAUUAAUAAUGUUGUGAGCUCACAAAAGUCACUGUUAAGUGCUUGCUGGUAAGUCCUUAUGUUAGAUGUCUUUGUUGCUUAUGAGCUGAAGACCCUGGGACAUCGUGAGUUGGUUUUGGUAGAUUUGAUGAUUUUUGUCAAAUUUCACCAAGGAAAUUAUCUUAAACUGAAGUAUCCUUCACUAUUAGCUCAUAUGCUUGGACUGGUCUCUUCUUUGGUCUCUCCUGUUCUUGUACCAAGGAUUUAUAUCUCUUCAUGAGUGAUCUUCCAUAACUUCUUUCAUGGUGCCUCUCAAACAGUACCCAACAAAGGCUUUAGCUCCAAUGAUACUGGAAGAUUUUCGGAAAGUAAUGGUUGUUCAGCAAUGGGAGGAAGGGCAAUAUAGUUAUGAGGAUAUUCUCAGGUGUAUGAAGAAAGGUAACCUUAAUUAAGGCUGGGAUUUCUAUCAUUGGUGUAGUUAAAAAGUUCUAGCAAGAAGCAGACUGUUCAAGUAUGAUAGUGCUAUUUUCCUUAUAUUUUGACCUUGCAGUUAUACCAUUGGACCUGAAGCAGACUGUUCAAGUAGAUUAGGACCUUGUGAUCCGUGCCUAUUAUGCUGGACAUGUAUGCUUCUUUAUUGUCUCAUGUUCUGUUUAUUGUACUUUAGAUUAUUUGAGUUGAAGUAUUGAUUUAGUUCUCCACUUUCUAAUCUAGUAAAACCGUCAUUCCAAAUUCAAGGUCCUAGGGGCUGUCAUGAUUUAUGCAAAAGUUGGAGAUGCUGCUAGGUCUACACUGGAGAUUACAAUAUGACAUGAGAUAGACAUCUUGGUGCAGCGCAAAUUGAUCGUCUAAAAUUGGAUCUUUUGAUAACAGAGUAUAGUCCAAACUCCAAUUAUUAGCAUAUUUCCUAUUUGAUUGUUGCCUGAUUUUUGAUUAAGUAUUGUGAAUCAUGCUGCAAUUUCUUAUACGUUAGCACUACAUUAGAGUAUGUUUGUUCUUUUUUUAAAAAAAAAUCAUUAUGUGGUUGCCUUGUUGAUAUCAGAUCACAGGAACAGGUUUCCAGAUCGGUACCCAUCUGUGGACCAUUGUCCCUGUUGCUAGCUAAAUUGUUCACCUGAAAAUCAUUUGGAAUAUAGCUGUAAUAACUAUAUUUAUUACUUAUUACGUUGUUGAAUUCAGUUUCUGGUGUUAAAACGAUGAUUUGCAUUUGUUUUAUGGUACAACACGUGUGGUUUCUCAAUGUUUUUAAUCAUGUUAAUGAGAUUAAGAGCACAAUGGUGUGGAUUCUUUUUUUUUUCUAUGUAUACUAUUAAGUAUAUAGUUGUUUUUUUUCUUUCUUCACUUCUGCAGAUCCACAUAUGCUGAAACUACACGUGAUUCAAGGCGUGCUCGAGAGAGUGAAUUCUUACAAGCGGUAUGUAAACGGCAAACCUGACUUUCCAUUAUGCCGAUACACUUGGUUUUGUAGAUUUAGUUGCAUUUAUUAUUUUAACUGUUGUGUAGAUUUUGUAUUUGCAUGCUUAAUUACUUUUCUUCUAGCACAAUACCAUCCAAGAAGUUAAUUUUCACCAAAUUAAGUGCAAUUUGUAAUUUGUCAUAGGAUACAUCUUUGUUUUUAUCUGACACCUUAGACCACAAAAUAUUCAUCUUGACUGUACUAUACAGUUAUUCUGUGAAUCUGCGCAUCAUGCUUUUUUUGGAGGAAGUUGAGAGGGGUGAACCCUACCUAUUUUCAUUAAAACACAUACAUAGAAUUUGUCUACACUACUUUACUUCCAUCCCUUAACUAUGUAUUUUCUAUAGGUCCAUAAAUGUGUUUCUGGAGGCGGUAAAGUUCUAAUUCCAUUAUUUUCUGUGGGAAGAGCUCAGGUACUCUAGUUAUCUCUAUAAUUUGAGGGAUAUAAAGUGAUGAUGAACUAUUAUCACUGUUUCACUUAUUGAUCAAGUCCCUUCUAACAAUACUGUCACCUGGGGCACACUGUUUUGAAUUUUCUUAAAUAGAGUAUCCAUUUAGGAUUGACACAGUCCUAUUAUGUAUCUCAGGAGCUAUGCAUGUUACUCUAUGACUAUUGGGAGAGAAUGAACUGGAAGAUUCCUAUGUAUGUCAACUUUUGUUAAAUUUUAACUUGAUUUUAUGUAUUUUCUGCUUUGAUGACGUCAUGUUUGUCCUGUAGGUUUAACCGUACAAUCUAACGUGUACUACAAGAUGCUUAUUGGAUGGACUAGUCAGAAGAUCAAAGACAGCUACAGAGUGCAUAACCCCUUUGACUUCAAGCAUGGUAUGAACUAUGGUUCAGGUCUUUAAAAGCUAUACUCUGUUCAAUCCUAUGCAGACUAAAGAGGAGAAAGAAAAUUCAAACAGUUAGACCUGUGUGCUUUUACUCAUUUUUGUUUUUUUAAGGAUGGAUAUUUAGUUUACCAUGGUGGCAACCUUAGUUUAAUCAUGAGACAUUCAAUGUUUCAUUUAAUCUUAAAAACUCGACCGGCGAGGGAAUGUUUCAUUUAAUCUUACAUAGUUAUAUCAGAAUAACAUUAUUUUUUUUCCCACAUUGCAGUUUGUCACUUUGAGCGUUCCUUCACUGACAACCCUGGUCCAUGUGUACUUUUUGCAACUCCUGGUAUGAUCAGUACCGGUGGUGGAUUUUCUCAUGAGGUGUUUAAAAAAUGGGCGCUGUCAGAAAAAAAUCUGGUUACACUUGCAGGGUAUAUCCCUUAGCUUUCUUAUUUCUUCCAUAUUUUUCUGAUUUUAUUAGAAACUAUAUCUUUUUCUCAUAAAAUCGUUCUCGUUCAUGCUGAUGAACUGUAUCCAACAUGUUGUGCUAACUAUAUUAUGUUCUGAUGCCACCUUUUUUUUCCUGAUGGAGGUAUUGUGCUCCCAGAAGCAUUGGUCAUAAGUUGAUGUCUGGCAAACCUGAAAAGAUUGAUUUAGAGGACACCCAUAUUGAUGUCAGAUGUCAGGUUGCUCUUCAAUUCAGUUUAUACUUUUUGAAAUAUUGUAAAUUUUUUAAAUAAUAAUGAAGGAGGGGGUAAAAAAGGCCAAUGCACUUUGUCUAAACGAGCGAUUUUCUCAUUCGAUGGUAAUGUUUUGUUAGCCAGGGAAAAACUUACCCAUUCACUAUAUCAUUUCAGAUGUUCAACAUAAUUGCUCUAUAGAGGACAGACAUAGUCAAAGGCUUGGGCUUUUUGCGGAAGUUCAUUGGCAUCUGUUGUUUCUCACAUGCAUGUUACUGUCCCAUUAAUAUCCAUUUAUCUUAUCUGAUUCUCUGAAUUAUUUGAAUUUGGGUAGCCAACUUCUCCAUCUAUUUUCACUUCUCGUAUGCUAUCACUUGACACUGCGUUCUUUUCCUUUGCAUGCCAGGUCCAUCAACUAGCAUUCAGUCCGCACACUGACUCCAUAGGGAUCAUGGACCUUAUAGAGUUCCUUUCACCCAAACAUGUAAUUCUCGUUCAUGGUGAAAAGCCUUUGAUGGCUUUCCUGAAGGAGAGGGUCGAAUCUGAAUUGGGGAUGCCAUGCUAUUACCCAGCUAACAACGAGGCCGUCUCCAUUCUGACAACCCAGAACCACAAAAUUAGUGCCACAGAAAGGUUCAUUACAAGCUGUGCUGGUGAGCAAACUGAAGACAAUCUGCGAAAGCGGAAGCUAAUUUGUGGAAGCAAUAUUUCAGAUGCCAAUGGCGAUCGAAAGCUAGCUGAGGGUAUCCUUCUGAUGGAGAAGAACAAGGCUUCGAAAAUUCUGUGCGAGGACGAGCUUGUUCAGGUGCUGGGCAUGGAGCAGCACAUUGUCCAGUAUGAACCAAUGGUCUCCUCCAGAAUUGCAGCAGCUGGCGAGUUGGAAUUGCAGCAGCUAGCAGGCCGAGGCCAGGGAAUGCAGCCGAUUUAGGGUGGGAAGGAAAAUGAAUGAAAUUGUACAUGCUGAGAUUCUGGCCGUGCUUCCUUUUCUUUUCUGCAAAUGAUUAGACCGUUGUACAGAGCUAUAGAUUCUGUAAGACAAAUGCGUAUAUUACCCUGACAAUUCAAUGGUUAGAUUAAAAGUUUAAAUGUGACCUCUUGUUGCUUGACCCACCUUGUUCAUGCAUGAGGUAUAUUGGUAUAAUAAUGAUGGAUGAGAUAUAAUGAUGGCGCGAGGGGUUGGAGGAAAAUGGGUACUAGUUCUUCGUUUCUUCGUUUUAAACUGCCGUAGGUUUGCAAGGCCAACUCACUGCAGGAAAAACAAAUCAGAAGUGCCGAGCAAAAACGCAGGACACAAGGAGUGGUCACAGGGUGGACAUUGGUUGGGAUGAGGUAAUACCCGUCCAGCAACAUAAAAGUAACAACACUUGCCCGGAGCUCAGUACCUCCCAAACAAUGAGUCAAUGACACAACCCAAAUAUGAUUCGCAAACAACCUGAAGCCCGCACGCUAGAAUUUUAGUGAGGUGACUUAAUCAAUGGUUUACUAAUCAUGUCUUCGAUCUUGAGGCUCUCAGGUGGUGACAACCCAAACAACACAAAUACGAUUGAGUAUUUGGGUGGUUGCCUGGUUGGUCAGAGUGAUUCAAUGCAGGGAGUAGGAAAACAUUUGCAAAAGCUCACUACAUACACUUGCAACAAAGAAACUGUAAUGCAAAUAUACCUCUCAACCUGUAAUAGUAACAUGGGGAUGACGCUACAAACAAAUGCAUUUCAUCCAAAGAUAAACAUGCACAUUACUCCCUCUGAUCACAAUCAGCAAACAAAACAAAAUCAACAAAAUCAUGCUAUUCUACUCAGUACACUGAUCUCUUGCCACACAGCAGACGCGGUAAUGUCACAUCAUAUGAUAUAUCCCGCUGCACAUUGUACUGCUACUGCUGUCUGGUGUACUGCUACCCACCGCCCCAGCCCGUGUUGUUGCCUCAGAGCUUGAAAUCUCAGGUGUUUCUGUCCAGUUGGCAGGAUCAGCAGCAACAGCAUAAAGGCUGGACCUCAGAUCAAGCGUCAGGUUAACCUGCUUCACCAAAAGCUCCCUGACACAGCCCGGCAAGUGUUUUAGCAACGGGACGAAAUCGUCGUUUGUGUGGUCGAGAUCUCUAACCUCCAAGAAAACCGCGUAACCAUCCUGGAUCAGGGCCCCUUUGCUCGCCGCGUCAAGAAACGUGUCCCUCAGCUCGGUGAUCGGCUUCACCUGACCCAAGACCAUCUCUUCCGCCUUAAUCCCAGCACGCGUCUCCAGUUCCAGUCUCGAGAGGUAGAUCAGUAACAGUAUGUUCGCGCUCUGAACCCCGUUCAGAAUAUCCAGACCAGGUGAUGGAUCGACAUGGAACGUGGAAGGUUGUGGCUGUGGCUGUGGGUCGGAAGCAGCAACGGAUGCCAAGGAUGCGCCGGCUGACUCCUCGAGAGCUGAGGCGGCGUCGAUGUCGCCGUCGCCGGCAGCUGACGCCGCCGGCGAACCUGCGGUUGAUGCGCUUGUCCUGGGCCUCUUCUUCCGUCGCUCCCCUGCUUCGUCGACCUCCAUCUCUUCCUCUACUCUACGGCUGGCUAAACUCGUAGACCCUAGGUGGCGUGUAUGUAGCGGCGUCACCGUGACGACGGUCGGCGUGAUCGAACGGGUGCAGUUCGGAUUAGAUCAGCCAACACUACCGGGCUACGAUGCCUUCUUUGGGCUGGGUCUCCGAUUGAGUGAGGCGGGCCCAGUCAUCAUUACGCUGAGUGGCCCUCUGGCCCAAUUCCUUAGCCGGCCCAUACCCCUUCUCUGGCUGCUUCAUCUUGCACGGUUGCACCUGAAGAUAUUAUGUGAAAGCGGAAGCGAUCUCUGGAAGCUAUAUGUCAGAACUCAGAAGUCAGUGGUGAUUCGAAACUCGAAAGCUAGCCGAGAGCAUUCUUGUGAUGGUGGAGAACGGAGCUCUGAAAAUCCUGGGCGAGGAUGAGCUUGUUCAGGUGCUGGGCAUGGAGGCAUGGAGCGGCAUCUUGUCCAGUAUUAUGAACCAAUGGUCUCCUCCCCAAUCGCAGGAGCUGGUGAGUUGGAAUUGCAACAGCCAGAAGGACGAGACAGGGGAAUGCAGCAGAUUUAGGGAGAGGAGGAAAAUGAAUGAAGUUGUAUAUGCUGAGACUCUGGCCAUGGUUCCUUUUCUUUAUCUUGAAGGGGAAAGCUAAUUUGUGCUCGAGUGUUUCAGAGCUUUAUAUCAUUCGAUUUUUGCUGCUGCUGCCGCACCACGCGAUUAGACCCUGCAGCCAUCUUCCUCGACUACGGCGAGGCUCCGGCCAUCUUCCUCUACCACUGCAAGUCUCCGUCGACCAUGGCAGGUUAGUGUUUGUGGGUUUGGGGUGGGGGCUUCCAUGGAGCGACGGCUGUAGAAGGAGUCUCCGGCGGCAGGUUUGUCCGGCGGUGGUGGUGGGCGUGGGGCGGUGAGGCAAGGCGGCGGUGGCGCCGCCGGCCGGGCAGUGGUGGACAACCGGUGGGCGGGGUCGGGGCGCGGGCGGGGGCAAGGGCGACGACAACGGCGGCGGGGGUAAGCGGCGGCGGGAAGGGCAAGGCGGAGGUUGCCGCGGGCUGAGUAGGGUAUCGCCGGAGCUCGACGCCGGCGGCGGGGAGGAUAGCACUCGAUUUCUCGGCCGUCGGAUGAAGAUCGAACGCUUGUCCUGCUUCUUCUACCUUGAGCAGCAACGUGAGUCACGCCUGAGUCCUGACACCGUUCUUCUUCCCGAGCUUCCAUGCCCCGCCCCCGCCCCACGUGCCACUGCCCCCGCCGCGGGCUGAGUAGGAUGUUGCAACUUGCAAGACAAAGGUGCAUAUUACCCCCCGAAAUUUUAAUGGUUAGAUUUAAAUGUAAGCCCCUGUUGCCUGGCCCGCCUUGUUCGUGCGUGAGCUAGUGUAUGAUGGAUGAGAUACAUGAUAACGCGAGGGGUUAGUUGGAGGAAAAUGGGUACUCGUUUCUGUCGAGCGCACAGUACAGGCGAUCAGAAACGAGUCAUUGAAUCAAUAAAAGCGACGACCUUCGUUUUAAACUGCCUUGCCGCAGGAAAAACAAAUCAAAACUGCCGACCAGAAAAAAAACAAACAAACUGAAUUUCAAAUCGCAUGUCUCAGUAUCCUGUUUUUCAUUCUACUCUGAGCACACUGAUCUCUUGCCACACACUAGGAAACGAAGCUAUUACACCAAAAAGAAUUCUGGCAAACAGCAUAAGCGCAGCAGUGGCACAUUACUCCAUAUAUGUCCCGCUGCACAUUGUGCUUCUACCGCUGUCUGGCGUAGCACUGACCGGCGUACUGCUGCCUGACGUACCGCUGCCCACCGGCACCGUACGUGGUGUUCGCGAUCUUGAAACCUCAGGUGUUUUUAUCCAAUUGGCAGCGUCAGCAGCAACCACCAAAUAUCUGUGCCUCAGGUCAAAAAUCAGCAUAUCUUGCUCCAGCACAAGCUUCGAAACAUCGCAUGCCAUCCGGGAAGAAACCUGUAGCCAUCCGGAAAACCUCGUAGCCAUCCUGGACACGGGGCCCUUUGCCUAUUAUCGCAUGAAUAAACAUGGCGACCAGAUCGUCGAUCGGCUCCAUUUGGCUCACGAAGGUCUCUGCCGCCUUCGCUCCCGCGGGUGUUUUCAGUCCCCAGAGACGGAGCAGCAGUGUCAUGUUCCCGUUCCGAAUCCGGUUCGGGACGUCCAGACCAGGCCAUGGAUUGAUGGCCACGAGGCAUUGUGGGUGGGAAAAAGCAUCGGAGAUUUCAAGGAUGAGCCGGCGGAGUCCUCAGGAUCCGAGGCGUCGGCAGAGUCCUCAGGAUCUGAGGCGUCGUCGAUGUCGUCGCUGGCAGCAGACGCCGACGACAAACUUGCGCACGGUGUCCUUGGCCUCUUGCGCCGUCUCUCCCCUGCUUCGUCGACCUCCAUCUCUUCCUCGGUGGCCAUGGUGAUACGAGAGAAUGGCAGAAAUCGUGUAUACCCUAGACGGGCGUGGUAUGUGGCGGCGUCCACCGUGGUUACAUACGGUCGUGGUUAUAUGUAGCGGCGUGAUCGAACGGGUAUAGUUCGGACUUCGGACUGGAUCAGCCGAGAUUUACCGGGCUGUGCGUCUGUGCCUCUUGGGUUGGGCCGCCAUGUCAAUCCGAUUGGGUUGGGCUGCCAACGGCCCUUGUGUGUCAGUCUGGUUGGGUUGGGCCCACCGGUGGAAAAAACGACCUACCAUCCUUAGAAAAAAAUCUAGGUUGUUUUUUGACCGGGACUAAAGAAGAUUUAGUCCCAGAUCUAAAUUUCCACCUCCGGUUGAUGUUACAAACUGGACUAAAGUCUCUGAGGGCAACCGGGACUAAAGGGUUACCAACCAGGAUUAAAGGAUUCCCACGAGUUACUGCAAAAGGAUUGCAUUCUCUACUCAGUCAGAUGUGCUGUAUAGGUGAGAUAGUAAGGAAGCUAUGCGUGAGGCUUGAGGUCAUGGGUUCGAAUCUCAUGCACCGCGCACGCGCAUAUUUCAUGUCAAAAAUUGCGUGACAUGUGACUUGUUUGUGUGUGGAAACCUCCAGUACUAUUGCUCAUUUCUCUACCAAUGGCCACCAAUAACCCUUGUACUUUAGGAGGGAGGGUAUGAAAACCGCAAAACCAUCUUGGACGAGGAUCCAUUUGCUUACUGCAUCGAGGUCCCUCAGCUCUAAAGAUGGUAAUAGGCAAAAUGCUCGUGGAUACAGCCCGUGCCCUCCACCCGCCAUGGGCAACCAAGCUUGCCCACGCCCUCCAUCCGAGUGCCUGACAUCAGUCCCAUGGAAGGCUUGCACUCGAGAGCUACUAGGGAUUACCAUUUGCAGAUGCAUGUCAACACAUUAGUGACACAAAUCAACACUCUAGCUUGCAAGAAGGCUGCCCAACUAUGUCUAGUUUACAAAAUUAGUUGAACCAUUAAAGUGAAUGACAUAAAUUACCAACAUCACUAGCAGACUGAACCACAAACAGAAGCGCAAAGCGUCACUCCUAGAUCUGGACAUCCACCAAGGAGCAGAGGUUGCUGCUGAAUGGAGGAAGGCCACCGGCCAGAGGAAGGCUUCGGGGAGGGAUGAGGCUUGAUGGUAGUUAAGGGCUGGCGUUGAUGCAGACUUGCAGAGGAUUUGGGUGUCUAGGACUCGGGGGCAGGUGGCCGGCCGGCGGGAGGAGGGUAGCUUGGAUGGGUGGCGGUGGUCAUGCAGGGGCACUCCUAGCUUGCGACUUCUCAUGUAGCGCGAGUGCCGAGCGCGGCGUGACGGGAGAGGAGUGGGCGGCGGCGGGGACAGGGGUCGGUCGGGGGUGGCCGGGUGUGGAUUGGAAUAAGGGAGAGGAACUUUAAGAUUUGUGUAUACAUAUUCACUCACGUCAGACCUGUGGAGCGGGUAUGCGGCGAAUAUAGCAAUUUUCUUUGCCCGCGCGAACAACUAUCCUAUGGGUGCUUGCACCCAUGCCCAUGGGCUAGGAAAUGACACCCAUGCCGCAUCGGGUUCCAUGCUUGCAGGCACGUGGGCAUUAUGUGCCCGUUGCCAUCUUUACUCAGCUCGGUGAUCGUCUCAACCUGACCCAACGCCAACACCACCUCCAUCGCCCUCGCUCCGGCAGGUGUCUUUUAAUCUCGAGUGGUCGAUCAGUAAUGCCGUGUUGGCGCUCUGGAUCCAGUAACCGAUGCUGGAUUGACGCGGAGCAUGGAGGGCUGUGGCUGUGGCUGUGGGUGGAAAGAAGCAUGAGAUGUAAGGAUGCGUAGUCGGCAGAGUCCUCAGGAUCUAAGCUGCCGUCAAUGUCGUUGCUAGCGGCAGACACCGGCAAACUUGUGCCCUUGGUCCUCGGCCUCUUCUUUGGUCUCUCCCCUGCUUCGCCCAUCUCCUCCAUCUCUUCCUCUCCAUCGUCGGUUUUAGAUGAGGUCAUGAUUAUGGGCCUGUUUGGCUACACUCCACUCCAAAUUUUUGAGCUCCACUCCACCAACUCCACCACAUUGUAUCUCCACUCUACCAACUCCAAAAAAAUACCAGAGUUGUCCACAUGUUUGGCAAAAUGUACAGAUCCAGCUCUGGAAACAGAAGGUCUUGUUGUGUAAAUCCAUUAUACCCAUGUGAAUGGGUCCCACUUAUCAGUCUCCUUUAGUUCUCCCCUUCUUCUCCUUUGCUGGCAGGGGCGGCGCGGCGGGCAGGGGCGGGUGGCACGCGGCGGGCAGGGGCGAUGCGGCGAGCAGGGGCGGUGCGGCAGGCAGGGGUGGGCGGCGCGGUGGGCACGACCGACCGCGGUGGAAGGCAGGGGCGACGCAGUGGGCAGGGUGGGAGGGGGCGACGGGAGGAUUCUUUUUGUUUCGCGAACCAGUAAGUUGUGUAAUGAGUGGUAAUGGUGGGUAAAUACCCACCAACUCCACGAGGAGGUCUAUAAAGGAGUUUUUGGAGCAGCUCUUGAGGUACUCAAAAAAACGUGGAUCUACCCUCCCGCUCCACCUUUUUUCUGGAGUCGGAGUUGCUGGAGCUAGACACGUUUGGCUGUGAAAUUUUUAGAGUUGGUGGAGUGGAACAAUUUUUCAUGGUGUGGAGUGCUCCAUCACACAGCGGCGUGAUUUAACGGGUACAGUGUCCGACUUCGGAUUGGAUCAGCCGAGACUUACCGGGCCUCUUGGGUUGGGCCGCCAACAGCCUUGUUGCCUGUCAGCCCGAUUGAAUCAGCGGCGGCAACCCGCCCGGGCGGCGCCGCACAUUACAGCCCGUCUCUUGGUCUCGCGCGCGUCCGCCCUCCGCCGCCAACCCCCCGCCGUCGGCCAUCGGUCCGCCGCCGCGGCAACCGGCGGUGCCCGCCGCACUGAGGCCGACCCGCAUCCCUGGCGCCGCGCCUCACAUAUCAGAGCACACGCAUCGAUUCGAUUCCCAUCUAAGCCUUCGGUCCCCGCGCGGUGCCACGGCGGCGGCGGCGAGCCAUGGCAAUCGAGUGCCUCGUGCUAGGUACGCGGCAGCGCCCCCUCUCUUUCUCCCUCCCUCGCUCCUCCAAAGCCCCGGCUCGAUUACAACCACUCUAACGCUGCGCCGUGCUGGGUUGCGAGUGCAGGGGCGGGGCAGGAGGUGGGGAAGAGCUGCGUGGUGGCGACCAUCGCCGGGAAGCGGGUCAUGUUCGACUGCGGCAUGCACAUGGGCUACCACGACCGCCGCCACUACCCGGACUUCGCGCGCGCUCUUGCCGCCUGGGGCGCGCUGGAUUUCACCAGCGCCCUCUCCUGUGUCGUCAUCACGCACUUGUGAGUAUUAUGUAGAUAAUAAAUGUUUUACCCUGUCCUCUUUUUUUUUUUCGCUGGCGAUUUUCUUCAACUUUCUGGUUUGAUUGGUUACCGACUGAAGAAGCUCGCGCCCUGCAGCCACUUGGAUCAUAUUGGGGCGCUGCCCUACUUCACUGAGGUCUGCGGGUACCACGGCCCCAUCUACAUGACGGUGAGCUCCGACGAAUAUUCAGAUUGUUGUUUGGGUAUGUCAGUUAUUUUCUGUAAGUAAAUUGACUUUAAGUUGGAUCGAUUUGUUGAACUUUGGAUUAUACUGCUUCUGAGCUAGGCAGUACUGCUAAUUGCCACUCGUGAUACUAUCAUACUGUGGUAAGGUCCAAUGUACAAAAUGUACUGCUUGCUUGAAUCUCAGAAAAUUGCUAUCUGUGUUCCAGCUGUGUCAAUUGGGAGUUGGGUAAAAUCAGCGAUUUUUCCAUCCUUGAUUUGAGCAGGCACAGAUAAUGAUCUUGCAUUAUUAGCUCAUAUGCUUGGGUCUUUGUCUUCCUUGGUUUCCCCUGUUCUUAUAUGAGAAGCAUCUAUAUUUCUUGAUGAUUGAUAUUCACCCACCCCAUAACUUCUUUCAUGUUUUCUCAAGCAGUAUCCUACAAAGGCUUUAGCUCCAUUUAUGCUGGAGGAUUAUCGGAAAGUAACGAUGGAUCAGAGAGGGGAGGCAGAGCAAUAUAGCUAUGAAGAUAUUCUUAGGUGUAUGAAGAAAGGUAACCUUAGUCAACUUUGCAAUUUUUAUUGCCUUCCUAUUUACAAACUGAUGCUGAUGCAGAAGUAGGCAUAUAUCAUAAUUCUCUUUUGCCUGACAUACUUGACCUUUCAGUCAUACCCUUGGACUUGAAGCAGACUGUUCAAGUAGAUAAAGACCUUGUGAUUCGUGCAUAUUAUGCUGGACAUGUAUGUUCCUUGGUACUUUUUUACCAUUCCAUAUUAUGUUUGUGUUCUGUAAAUUCUUUGAAAUGAAGUAUUGAUUUAGUUCUCUGCUUUCUAAUCUAGUAAAACCAUCAUUCCAAACUCAAGGUUCUAGGGGCUGCCAUGAUUUAUGCAAAAGCUGGAGAUGCUGCUAUGGUCUACACCGGAGAUUACAAUAUGACACCAGAUAGACAUCUUGGGGCUGCACAAAUCGAUCGUCUCAAAUUGGAUCUCUUGAUAACAGAGUAUUGUCCAACCUCCAACUAUAAACAUGUUUUUUUCUAUUUGGUGGUUCCCUUUACUUGGAUUUUUAACCACAUGUUGUUAUGAAUUAUGCUGCAUUACAUCCAUAGGCUCUUUCUUAUGUGUUCCCACCAUAGGGGCAAGGGGGCAUCUUGUUUGACUUUUCAUUGUGUGAUUGCAUUUUUUUUUUGAGGAAUGUGAUUGCAUUUGUUGAUAUCAGGUCUUGGGAACAUGCUGCAGACUGGUAACCUCUAUGGACUUAUUGCUUGGGUCCUGUUGUUAGCCAGUGUGUUCACCUGACAUCAUUUAGGAUAUUGCUGUGAAUCAUCUAUAUAGUCGGCUAUUACUCAUUACUUGUUAUUUGUUGAAUGUAGUUUUUGAUACUACAACAGAGUACAUUGAAUCUGCAUUCGUUUUAGGAUUGUGCUGGCAUCUUAAUGUUGUACUGUUAUAUAAUCAAGCUAAGAGCACAAUUGGCGUGCUGAGUAUUUUUUUUUGUAUACAUCAUGAAGUAGUAAAUAGCAUUGUUCUUUGUGCAGGUCCACAUAUGCUAAAACUAUACGUGAUUCGAAGCAUGCCCGAGAGAGGGAGUUCCUAAAAGCGGUAUGAACAUGUGAACUUUUAUGCUGCCAAUGUAGAGAUUUGGUAAUUUUUAGUUGCAUGUGUAGCAACAAUUGCUUUUGCAAUGGUCGACUGUUAAGUUUUGAUUGUACAUGCUUAGGUUCUUCUGGCACAAUACAAUAUAGGAAGUGUGUCGACUUUUUUUUUAAUCCUACAACCAUGGUUUUUGAGUUGUUGUGGCCUCCUGUGGUGUUGGGGACACGCCUGGAUGCUGAGAUGGCAUCUAGGUGACAAGUCAUUAGGACCUUGUGGUGUUAGGGGCACGCCUGGAUGCCUAGGCAAUGGUGCAAUGCCUUAAAAACCAUAACUACGAUCUUUGGCAAAAAAAAAAAAAUUCUUACUGUAUUAAUCCAAAUCCUAUGCAUUGUACAUUGGUUGAGUUUCAAGGCUUAACUGAAUAUAUGUUUUCUCUAGGUACAUAAAUGUGUUUCUGGAGGGGGUAAAGUUCUGAUUCCGACAUUUGCUCUGGGAAGAGCUCAGGUGCCCUAGUUCUCUCUUAACACAACUUUAUGAGACAAAAUCAUGACUGACUAUUACCCCCAUUUUGCUUAAAUGAGCAAGUUCCUCUGAGAAGUACUGUACCUAUGGGCACACUAUUCACAGUCUUCAUAAAUUAAAUGUCUAUUUAGGAGUGACACUGUCCUGUUGUGUAUUUCAGGAGCUAUGUAUGUUACUGGAUGACUAUUGGGAGAGGAUGAACUUGAAGAUUCCUAUUUACUUCUCAGCUGGUAUAUGUGGUUUCUUGAAAAUUGAAGCCUUAAUCUUCUUUUUUUUGUAUUUUCUUCUUUUUGUGAAGUUAUGUUUGUUGAUAUUUCUAUAGGUUUAACCAUUCAAGCUAACAUGUACUACAAGAUGCUUAUCGGAUGGACCAGCCAAAAGAUCAAGGAUAGUCAUGCAGUGCAUAAUUCAUUUGACUUCAAGCAUGGUAUGGUUGGGUUCUUCAAAAGCUAAUCCAUCCAAUCCUAUGCAGAAUAAAGAUAAAGUGCAUAUGAUUGUGUUAAAGAUCUAAAUAUUCAGUAGACCAUUAAAUAAACUUGCAGUUUAUCUUUUGCAUUUUGUUACAAUUUGUAACUGUGCAACACCAAUUGAAUAUUGUGUGCUUCUACUCAUUUUAAUGUUUCUUUAAUGAAAUAUAUUUUUAGUCAAUCAUGAUACUGAGAAUAAUUUUUGCUAUUUCAAUUUAAAAUAGGAAAUGUUCUAUCCUUUUUUGUUGUUCUCUUAUGCAUCCUCCAACAAUGCUACUUCAGCUAGCUCGUAUGAAUCCACCUCAUCACUUUGCUUACAUGGAAGAGAGAGAAGGUGAGGAGAGAGAAUGUACUAUCUCUUCUUCAAGAGGUAGCUCAUAGAGAAAGUGGCCUCCACACUUUAUUGAUGAGAGAGGUGUUGUAGGACCCAAAAUAAUUUGAGCAAUGUGCUAGGAGAUAAACCAUUGGAGAUAUAAUCUUUUUGCUAUCUCUUAUGUGAGAUGGAGAAGCUUUGAGCUAGUGUAUUAGCUCAACCAUUGGAGGCGGCCUUAUACCAGAAUAACACAGAAGCUUUUUUGUUUAACAUUUCAGUUUGCCACUUUGAGCGUUCAUUCAUCAACAACCCUGGUCCCUGUGUACUUUUUGCAACACCUGGGAUGAUUAGUGGUGGAUUUUCCCUUGAGGCAUUUAAGAAAUGGGCGCCAUCAGAGAAGAAUCUGAUUACACUUCCAGGGUAUACUCCAUACCUUUCUUGUUUCCAACAUUUUUUCUAGUAUGGUAAAUCACUCUUAUUCAUACUGGCAACCUUUACCCUAUAUGCCACCUUUCUAUUUCCCACAUGCAGUUAUUGUGUUGCUGGAACCGUUGGUCAUAAGUUGAUGUCUGGGAAAACUACGAAGAUUGUUUUAGACAAGGACACCCAUAUUGAUGUCAGAUGUCAGGUUGCUUUUCACCUCAUUUUAUAUGUUAUGAAAAAUUGUACAAUUUUAAAUUAAUAAUGUUAGGUGUCAAGGAAAUUGUUAAGCAGAAGGAAAUCUUUUAAUGGCUAGUGUUUGGCUUACUCUUCUGAAUAUACUCAAACUUGAUAAUUAAUCCCUGCUGUUCUUUUCACUUCUGAUAUGCUAUGCCCUCACUGAGUUGUUUUUCUUCUUUAAUUUGUGCACCAGAUCCAUCAGCUAGCAUUCAGUCCUCACACAGACUCCAAAGGGAUCAUGGAUCUGACUGAAUUUCUUUCACCCAAACAUGUAAUUCUUGUCCAUGGUGAAAAGCCUCAGAUGGCUUUCUUGAAGGAGAGGAUCGAAUCUGAAUUGGGGAUGCCGUGCUUUUAUCCAGCUAACAAUGAGUCUGUCUCCAUACCAACAACCCAUACUCUCAAAAUGAGCACCACCGAGAGGUUCAUUACAAGCUGUGCUGCUGAGCAAGGUAAACAGAGCCUGCGGAAGCGGAAUCUGAUUCAUGGUACUGGUGCGUCAGAAGUGAAUGGCAGUGAUGAGGCUGCUGCGGAGGGUGUUCUGGUGAUGGAGAAACACAAGGCUCCAAAGAUUUUGUGUGAGGAUGAGCUUCUCCAGGUGCUGGGCAUGGAGCGUCAUCUUGUCCAGUUUGAAGCAAUGGGCUCCUCUAGAAUUGAAGCGGCUGUUGAAUGGGAGCUGAAGCGGGCCGAGGCAGCCGAUUUAGGUAGUGAGGAAAAUGAGUGAAACUGUACAUGCUGUAAUUUUCAAUUAUUUUCACCUUUUCUUUCUUGGAAAUACUCGGAAUGUUAUACACAUGGUCAUUGGGAGAGAAGCACACCACCGAAUUGUAACUUGAGUGGCAACAAAUUUUGGUACCUCCCUUGGGUGUGUUGUAUAUUAUCCUCAGAAUUCAUUGGUUAAAUCUGUGCUCCUGCUGCUUGAGCAACCUUCCUGAUGCAUAAUGCAUUCGCCCAAAAAAAGAAAAAACCUUCCUGAUGCAUGAGCUAGUGCAGGACAGGAUGGGAUGAUACAUGAUGAACCGGUUAUUUCUGUCAAGAGCGCCGUACAGGGUAUCUGUAACGAGUCGUAAAAUGAUUUCAAGCAACGUCAAGGUCAAGAGCAAGGCACUUUUUAAACUGCAGCAGAUUGCUUCCGUGCAAGAUCGUUGGUCAUGCGCGUGGCCGAUCAGUGCAAGUUUCGACUGAUGUUGCCGUCCUGUGUUCCUGAAUGCUGAACAAGUCCAACUUCAGUCAUACACUCCGUAGCUCAGAAUUCCAAACCACCUUUUUCUCUAGGAUUUAUGCAUGGAACAAUCAAGUAGUCGUCAGUCCACUCUCGGAAUGUUGAAACUGGACCGUGAUCUGUGUACUGCAUAAAGACUUUGCAUCUGACGUGAAUAUGUAACCGGGAUUAUGCAUGCUUGCAUAAACCAGCUGGUUGCGUCAGUCUAAUCCGUCAAAAACGUUUUCUUCAUCCUCACGCGGCAAUGCCGCUGAAGUUAACAUCGUCAGCUACUCAGCUGGCUGGCUCAGCAAUCGAUCGUCUCCAUCUGAACGAUGGGUUAGCUCGCUGCAUGCCUAUAAGUAGACUUCAUGGCUUCGAGCUUUAGACGCACAACAACCUGUUAUACUCUCAGCUGCUCGAGCCUUGAGCUAAUCAGCAUUCAGAAAGGCUGCUCGAGAUCUAGCUUAUUAGCUUGCUGCACGAUCAAGAUGAAGGGAGGAGUGAGAGGAAGAGGUGCGGCUGGAGCUGCGGCGGCGCUGCUUGCGCUGCUGCUCGUCGCAGCGUCGUCGGUGCAUGCCGAUGCCGCGGCAGCACCGGCACGGCGCCUGCUAGGAGCUGAUGGCGCCACCAUGCAGCCGUUGGCGGCGGCGGCGCCGCCACCACCGCAGGUUUCCGUCAGCAAAGCCGCAGGGUCUUGCGGCACGAACGACCCAAACAUUUCUUGCCCUCCGCCACCGCCCGCGCCAUAGCAAGCUAUAGAUAACUAGCUAUACCUACACGUGCAUACACUCUUCCUGCAUAUAAGCAUGGAUUUUUUCGUCCAAAGGAUUUGUUUAGCUUGGAUAAGUUUAUUGUUUGUAGGCUGGCAGGAAGUGACCUCGAAUACUUUAUUUGUAAGAAGUGGAUAAUAAUUUGUUCAUUUGGAUUAUAUUGUUACACCAGUUGUCUUGUAAUAUACAAAGAGCAAUCAGCUAUCGAUUUGGUUUAACUACUGGGCAGUGGGCAUAUGAUAUCUUCUGUGUGGAUCGGUUGAGUGGAUUGAUAUGCUGCUCUGCUUUGCUAUACUGUUUUACAAACAAGCUAAUCUUUUACGAAACACAAUAUGAAGUACACAUUUUUAUACUCUCUUAAACGAAAUUUGUAUUAAACCUUGUAGAGAUGGAACUGCGUGAAACCACGCCUAAUAUAUAUAAAUCGUCUGAGUUCAAAGACCGGUUAUACGUUGUGUUCAUCACUCACACGGGGGACAAUAUGGGCUCAACUGCAUCUCUACCUAGGCCCAUUAUGUCUAAAGAAAAAAAACAAGAAAUAGACAUUGUGGUCAAACCGAAUGCCAACUCAGCGGAUCGGUUGACUUGACCCUAACUGAUGGAUAGGUCAAGGGUGUUUGGAUUGUUAGUCUAGACUAAAAUUCAUGUCACAUCGAAUAUUCAUAUUUGGAGGUUAAUUAGAAAGACUAAAUAUAAGCUAAUUAUAAUAAUUAUAAAAUUAAUUACACAGAUGAAGGCUAAUUCCUGAGACAAAUCUAUUAAGCCUAAUUAAUCCAUCAUUAGCACAUGUUUACUGUAGCACCAUAUUGUCAAAUCAUGGAUUAAUUAGGCUUAAUAGAUUCGUCUUGCAAAUUAGCUUCCAUCUAUACAAUUGGUUUUUGUAAUUAGUCUAUGUUUAAUACUUCUAAUUAAUAUCUAAAUAUUUGAUGUGAUAGAAAUUUUAGGAGAUCCUAUAAAACAAACGGGCCUAAAGAAAGCUCAAAGUCAAUCCACGGGUUUCUUUUGGUAUGGAAUGUCUUAGCCGCGAAGCUUCACUGGCAGACUGCCUGCAGCCUGCAGGGACCACUGUCGUUUGAAUCAAGUAGUCAGCAAUAAGUGCUGCUGCAAACUAGACCGCUAGCUGCAAGCUGAAAGUUCUUCAGUUCUAAUUUAUAUGGGAAUUCUAAACUUGAAAGUUCUUCAGUUCUAAUCUAUAUGGGAAUUCUGAACUUUUGAAUGCUGAACAAGUCUAAGGGUGUGUUUGGUUAGGCUGUGAUUUUUGGAAAAACUGUUGUGAGCUGUGGGCUGUGGAAAAGCAGCUGUGGGAAAAGCAGAAGACCGUUUGGUUAGAGCAGUUGUAAAACUGUAGGCUGUGCAAGAAAUACCUGUAAUGCCCCUAAAGGUCUAUGGGUGUGUUUAUAUGCAAAUUGCUCGUAACAAAAUAAUGUGUUCACUAAUUCACAUGUAAAUGACUAUUUUAGAAAGAAAAAAAUAAAUUUUACGUGUUCAUCCAUCAAAAUGAUUGGUUCGCAAAAAUAGAGCAAUAUCCAUCAAAAUUAAGUUUAUACAAUGAUGCCAUCCCUCAACAUUACUGUUCUCCUCUUGCACUAAUCAAAGCAUCAGGUCUAGUACGAAUGGUAUCUUCAGUUUGGGUGCCUGGAUAACUCGGAUCUUCAGGCCACACACGUUAGACCAUCUAUGAUGAUACUUGCCAAGGAGCAUCCUCCAUGAUGACUUCUUCGAGCUUUCUUUCUCGGCUGAGAACAUCCGAUACACCGAGGCUCCGGAGCGUCGAGGAGAUGAUCCGGAGAUGACGAUAAUCGAGGUUGUACUGCAGCACCAAGCUCUGCAGGACAAGGCAUCUGUACAGGAUGUCAUGGAGAGUGCACUCGGAGAUCCUGACGCCCUUGGGCGUCAGUUGCUCGAGGCGCGGGAAACCGAGCGUGCCGCAAGCGGCGGCGGCCUCCGCGGGGGCUUGAGGAACUCAAGUCCGCCAUGGUUAGAGCAGAUGCGGAGCACGCGUAGGGUUGCCGAGAAGCGGAACACGGACAGCGGCGCCGGCACCGGAUUCCGGCAGAUGUUUUUCAGAGCCAUAGCGAUGGGGAAGGGGGAGGAGAAGCGCAGCCAGAGGCAAAACUCCUGGAGCCCGUCGAGGCCUGGUGGCCGAAGCAUGUCGUCGAUCUGGGUGCGGGUGCCGUCGGUGGCGGGUAGCAGCCUGAUGACGGCGCCGAGGACGUCGUCCGGGAGGCGGCCGAUCAGUUGUGCGUCUCCUUCCUCUCCUCUGGGUGCCAGAGGUGGUCGCUGUUGCCGCAGCGGGCCACGAGGGCAGUAGCGGCGCGCGGGAGGCGCAGGCCCAGUAGGCACGGCGGCGGCGGCGGCGCCCGCGCCCACGCCCGGCGGUGGCGCGAUGGUGCUCGGGCUUGACGGCUUCUCUCACGUGACAGAAAACAAAGAAAAAAAAUAAAAGAACGAACGGGUAUGUUCAUAACCAGUGGUAGGUGGGUAACUUUUUACCCUAAAAGUACUUGAAAGCAGGGGAAGGUGCUUUUGUUUUUGUACUAGAGCAAAAUCAGCUUUUGACAAAAAUACCUGUGGCUUUUAGAUCCUUUGGUUGGCUUUUGGCUUUUGCAAAAGCAAAAGCAGGUUGAAAAGUCCAACCGAAAGCACCCAAGUCCAAACCACCUAUAGAUGGCCAUUUGGGCCGCAGGCAUGGCCUAGCACAUGGUAAGGAGGCACAAGCACGGUUGCACCGUGUUGGCCUGGCACGGUGAUGCUGCCGUACCAGGCUGUGCCUAUCCACAAAUCAGCACGCACAGUUGGAAUAGCGUGCCGUGCUAGCUCACAGCUUGGUAAUAAAAAACAUCAUCAUUUUCAAAUUUGGCAAUACAAAGGUGAAAAAUUGCAAAUUAUAAAAUUUAUCUCAGAAAUUCAAAAGUCACAAAUCUGGACAUCAACUGAUGAUCAAAUCACAAAGUCAACAUAUUCACGUAGCACAUAGGCCACAAAAUGGCAGGUUACAAUAUCACACGUUGACAGACAUAAGUUUUUUCCCCUAUGGGCUAUGCCCGAAUUUCAUUACUUCAAGCAAGCAACGAAAUUAUAAGGUCGGUGGAUUAGAUUCCACCGUACAUUCAGAGUUUCUAACCUAGACUUGCAAACAUGAAAUUAACAGGCUGUAACACAGAGAGUUUCAAGGCUGUAACACAGAGAGUUUCAGGCAUCAAGAUUCAAACUACUGUCACUGACUACACACCAGCCACCGUCUUGAGUGUUUCAGAUUCUGCAUUCUCCAUCGCAAAAGUAAACUUUUAGCACCCAUUCUUGUCAGAUUCACUUCACUGAAGAAGUACCGUCCCUGUGUCAUCCGCUGGGGCCUCCUGUGGAUGAUAAUGCGGAGCCGCCACCUUGAGUGCUUCGGCCCCUUCUUCCAGCUUCAUUCUGUCUUCUUCUUUCUGCAAUUCUGCCCAGUAUAUAAGAAACAAUGAGGCAGAGCAAAUGAUCUCAGUAGGAGAUCGAAUAAUUUUCUUAUCAAAACAAACACUAUUUCUUGCUUUCCAAAUAGCCCAGCAAACAGCCGCAAGACCAACCAUAUGAAAUUUCCUACAAUUUUUUAGAAAAGAAUUAGCCCACACCCAAAAUUAAUUGUUCCAGGUUACAAGGUCUACAGUUUGCUCCAACCACCAAGGCAAUCAAACUCCAAAUAUAUUUUGCCAUAGCACACCCAAAGAACAUAUGUUCCACUGUUUCUCUUUCUGAACAGAAAGCACAAGAUUCAUCUCCUUGCCAUUUCCUUCUCACCAAAUUAUCUUUUGAAAGAAUUGCAUUAUGUUGCAUCAGCCACAUGAAAAUCUUAAUUUUCAGUGGCAUCUUAGCUCCCCAAAUGUUACUGUUUGUUACAGAGGGUUCAUUGCUAAACAUAUGAGAAUACAUGGAUUUGACUGAAAAGACUCCUUUCCCCUCCCAUAUUCAUUUAGGCUUAUCCGUAUCAUUAGAUAAAGCAAAAGAAGUCAGUAAAUCAUUCAACCUUCUCAGUUGGAUUUGUUUACUUUCAUCGAGCCAUCUCCUAAAAGUGAGUCUCCAGUUUCUAUUUGCUAUAUGAGCAACAGUUUCGUUACAUAUUUCAUACAACUCCGGGAACUUAUCUUUUAAGGACACAUUCCCACACCAUGAAUCACUCCAAAAGUCGGUUUUCUUACCAUCCCAACUAUCGUUACUCUCCCUUUAAGUAUAAAUCUUUAACUUUGAUCAGAUUAUUCCACACCGGCGAAUUCGUUGGUUUGCUCUUUAACUGAGACAAACAUGCAUUUAUAACAUAUUUUUUCUUUACAAUUUCUUGCCAUAAGUACAUAACACAUAUUUAGUAUUUACAGAUAGAGCUAUUUCAUAGUUAGGUUUGGCUACCUUAUUAAAAACCUUCCUAGGUAAAAACUUACACUUGGUGAGAAAACCUUAAUCAGGAAGGAAAAAGAGUACAACUCAGCUCAACGAAAUAAGUUUAUGAGUUCAUUACAUGACAUGAUAACAAGAUAACAAGAACUGAAGAACACAUUAGCAUUUCAUCAGGCCAAGGCCACCAGCCUCCACAAAAGUUUCCAAUUCAUCACUUGAUCACUUGGCAGGCCUAGCAAGUAGUGAAAAUACAAGUUCAAAUUCAUGUUAAAGUUCUAGCUAAACGUUCCAUAACUAUCUAGCAAAACGUGUUGUAAGUUCUAACAGAUGAUAAGUUGAAUUCUAGCAUGGAACAAUCAAAUAGUCGUCAGUCCACUCUCUUUAACUGUUGAAACCUUGUUGGUUCAGAGCAAGCUCUUUACCAAACACUCAAAGAAAGCACACACAAAUGGGAAACAAAACUCUCUUAGGGCUUGUAUUUCUCCAAAAAUGUGAACCCUUGUACAAUAGGGUGUUGACAGCAGUUAGCAUGCUAAUUUGUGAACCGCAAGUGCACGGAUCAUCGUAGCUUGUCCCUUAGAGUAUUUCAUCCAAGGUUUAUCAAAUCGUGGAUUAGCAGCGAACUGACUAGGGUUCUCUAUCUAGCUAAAUGGAUCUAAUCCUAUCAUGAAGCAUGAAUUGCAUAUAAAGGUAAACCCAAUGGAGAGAUAAGUAUUAUAAACAAGGUAAAUAGAUCACAUCCAUAUAUAUGAGGUAACACAACCAAAGGUAGCAUGAGCCUAUUGUCUUCUUGUUGUAGUUCCAGCCAAAGUGGUAACCAAUAUAUGUAGCACCUUGAUAAAGAAUCAUUUCUCAGAAAGGUGGCUCGCAAGCGGCCUACUUUCCUGUAGUCACCACUGCGAGGUGCAUGUUAACGCCUCCGGUCUCCCAAGGCUUUACCUCAAAAGACUCCCACAAUACUCGCUAUCGAUCCUACUCAACAUUACGCAAUCGUUCAACUUUUCCCCUCCCAUAUGUUGUCACCAUGCAAAGGUAGUCACACCGACUUCCUACGCACUACUAAGAUGUAUCCGCAAGACAUAGACUAAUCAUCAUGAUUACAUCUAUUCCUACUAAGAACAUAUGCUAGCUAAACAUAUGAGAAUAAGCAUGCAUCAUAGUAGAUCAAAGUAAGCACAAGAUUAGAUUGAUAUCACCAUCGUGUGUACAUAAGCCUUGGUGAUCACAAGGCUCGGCUCCAGAACUCCACCAUGGCUUCGCCACGCAGGGACGACCAUGGCGGCUAGGGUCUAGCCUAAGCCAUCUCCUAGACAACCUUGAAGACUUGCAGUAGCCUUUAGCUUCCUCUAGUGUGUGUCCCUAUAUUUGUCGACUUCUGGUAGAUGGAUCUUGUGUGACGAUGAAUUUUGGGCAUACUUAUCAUUUGGAGGACGCGUGGCUGAAAUAGGAAGGCGAGGGGAGCAAGGACAGCCCCAGGCCAGCCUGGAGGGGUGAGGGAGGGGGGGGUCCAGGGAGAUCGGCAUGGCCCUUCCUUUUAUCCCCUCGCGCCCAACUUCAUUGCCAAGUCUCCUCUAAUGUUCUAGAAGCUUAUUUUUGUAUGCAUGUGGGUCUGACACGUCGAUAGCUGCGGGAUGAGAUUGAUCUUUGCUAACUUUCCAAAUCUCUGCUUGAUCUUCUUUGAUUUCUCUUUGAUCCCGAAGUGAUACUUUCCAUAUCUUCACAAUCUUAGCUCUUAAGUAAUCUUGGAGGAGUGCUUGCCAAAAGUGAGCAUCGGAGGGGGUCAGAAGACUCCUAGCUGAUCGACUUGGGCUUCACCAGGCUGAUCGGCUUGGGUUCUUUCUGAGCCCGCUGGCCUUCGUCUUUGAUAGGUUCGUUGCUUGUUCACGGCUUUAUCCAACAAUAUGCUUUUAGGUCCAAUUUCCUGCAAAAAUAGAAUGUCCUCCAAAAUACAAUGCAUAUGGGAAAACGGGGUUAUUUUAGGUGCCAAGUGGUGGGUUAGUAUAAUAAUAUGUAUGAAAAUAUCACUUAAAUGGCACUAAAAGUAUGUCAAUAAUGAGCGUCAAUAAUUCCCCCAUGCUUAAACCUUGCUCGUCCUCGAGCAAGUCCAGGAUACUUACUUAAUCUAGAAAUCAGCGUUGCCCUUUGAUGUCGUCCCUGCACUCAGUUAUACAUAAUAAGACAUAUUUCUCUCUCAAGUAUUUAGCAUUUAAAGUUCAAGUUAUGACCGGAUACUUUUCAUCAUGGAAGAUAGAAUUAGCAAUAAAGAACAUGCCACAAUAAAAUAAAUACAAUGCUCUUGAACUUAAGUGAACUUCAGACCUUUACCUUGUUCCAUCAUGAAGAGUUUUUCAAAAGAUGCAAAUGCAACACAAGUGAGAUUCUCUUGCAAUAGUUCAUGGAAAUACUCAUCUCAUAUAUGAAAGUGGAAGGCUUAUGUGGAGCUUGGUAGGUAGAAACAAUCCUAGCAAGAUAUUAUAUCUAAAAUAUUAAGUCACUCAAGCCUAUACUAGAUUAUUUUCAACCUAUUCUACUCAUAUAUGAAAGUGGAAGGCUUAUGUGGAGCUUGGUAGGUAGAAACAAUCCUAGCAAGAUAUUAUAUCUAAAAUAUUAUCAAACUAAGAGAGAGAUCUAUUGAGAUUACUUAGACUUGUCAAAAAGGUCAUGGAAAAUAAAUUUUGGAGAGGAAGAGGGAUGAAACAUACACAUUUAGAUAAGUGGACAUGUGCAAGUGGCAAAUGAAUGAUCCAGGGGCACAAAUGAAGUUCUCGUUAUCAGAUUGCACAUGGUUGGAAAAUGAGUAUGGAUCAAUCCUUAAUCUUGAGAGCACUGGGAACUUUAAUAAGGCUUAAAGAACUAAGGAGAAUUUUAUUCUUUUUCUUAUUAUCAUUUUGUCCUUUUUCAUUCCUUUUUUCUUUCUUUCUUCUUUCUUUCUUUUUCCUCAUUUUUCUUUCUUGUUCCUAAUUUUUUUUCAUUUUGCUCCUCAGAACUUCUUGCAACAUAGUACUUUACUCAGCAGUAGUUAGAGAUAAUGCGAUGACUCCUCUCCCAUACUUAGAUGAUGCUCAUCCCCGAGCAUGAAAAGGAAGGAAGAUAAACUGCUGAUUUAAGCACCAAAAUCUUCGAUCUUCUACAAAAAAAUUAUUUUAUUCCUCUGGAGGGAUUUCCACCCCAAAUUUCAAAGAGAACAGAGGGGGAAACACCUCAGGUCGAUCAGCCUGGCCCCUUCUGGCCUCUGUUUUCUUCGCUUUUUAUUCUCCGUACUGGUGGAUGCCUCCAGCUCUUAAUUUUCUUUAAAAGGCAUUGAUUAAUCUUCUGAGUCUUUGUCAAAAUAUUUUUCCAUACUCAAUAAUAGGUUCUGGUCAAGGAGGUAGUCACAAAAAUGAUAUAUUUGGGUUUAGGUUGGAUGCCCAGCGAGGUUCAUGAAAUUUCUAGUGUAGAAAUUCAUAAUGCAUGGACAAAAAGGCUAGAAGAAAAAGGUUUACAUAGAGGAGAUGGCCAGCUUCUAAGUCUCAUACCACAAAAAUCAAUCUUAAUCCAACUCAUCAAAAUAUAAGUUUGCAAUCUAAAGGUUUCAUCAUGAAAGAUCAUGCAUGUAUAUAGGCUCUGGUAGAUAGAACUUUGCAAGAGAUUCACAAAUGUAGAUAGAAUAUGAAUUAAUUUUAAAUUAAAACAAUUCAAGUUAUCAUGUCAUCAGAAAACUUAAAUUGAAGAGCAACAUAGAGUUUGUGGGUCUAGAGUUUUGUCAUUUAACCUCCACAAUUAACAGAGCCGGUAUUUAAUCAAUUUAAGUUCAUUAAACAGAGAACAAUUUGUCAAGUCACAUAAAACAUUGUGUAGGUAAAACAAAACGGCAACCUUCAUCAUUUUUCCAUAAGCAAGAUUAUACCAAAAUUAUUAACAUCGUGGUGAGCACAAGGUGAUGGUGAUCAAUCAUUUAACAAAAAUAAAAACUAGGUUGUACUCCUAGUAGCCAUGUUAUUAUAUAGAGAGAUAUACAAAGGUUGCAUCGAGUCUAUGGUUGAAAACUUAUAUACAUAGGCAUUUAGAAAGAUAUAGACAAAGAAAAGGUUGAGGAAGAAUUUAUCGUCCUUUCGAUGCUUGUGAUGAAGUUCAGCGCGACCUCCCCAAUGCUUAAGCAUUGUGCUUAGGCAUGGAAGAAGAAGAUGAUGCUUUUUGUGGUUGUUGAAAUCCUUGUUCUUAGCGUCCGGAGCUUGUCUUUAUGCUUGUUCACUUUUGUCGCCUUUAUUGUCCUUCAAUUUCUUCUGUUUUCAUGAAAGCACUUCACCAUGCCUUCAAAACAAUUCAAAUGCACAAACUACCCCAAGGUGACUGUCGGGAGUAGAAGCAAUCACCAACAAACAAACAACAUCCCUAAGACAUUAACUUAUGGCAUAGCUAAUCUAGUAAAAUAAAAAUAAAAACCUAAUGGGUGUAUGUGAGUGCAAGUGUGAAUGCAAAUCAUAGGUAGGAAGAUAAACAAAGACAAUGUUUGCACCAAGUUCUAAGCACCAUGCUUACAACUAGGUUGCUAAAAUUUUUCAUAGCCAUAAAAAAAUUGUUAAUCAAAGUCAAACACCAUGAUUAUCCUAAGAUCAAUAACUCUUUCCAGCACAAGAAAAAUAGAGCGCAUUGCAAAGCUUAAAAACCAACCAAUGCAAUAUGGUGAUGAUAUAAAAAGCUAGCAAGGUUUAUUAAACUGAAUGAUGAUGGUUUGCAACCAAGUCUAAACACCACAUUUACACAAGAUUGCAAAGGAAAAUGCCCUAGAAGCAUUAACAUAGAUAUGAAAACAUUCAUCAUAAAAUUUUUUAGGAGAAAGCCAAACUAACACAUGAAUGAUGGAACAAAUGCAAAUGCAAAUGCACAUGCAAAAGGGUUAGCAAAAGCAAAGGCUAGCAAGGUUGAAAAGACUAUCGAUGUUGUUUCACAAUUAGUUGAGUAAAAAAGAAUUGCUUAGAAUGACAAAGUAAGGCUAGCUACUUCAUAAGAAGUCAAGCAAUAUCAACAAGAAAAUCAUUCAUCGAAAAUCCCCAACAACCAAACUAACAAGGCUAAGGGUAGGUUUAUAGGUAUCCUAUAUUUUUGGCUUGGAAAAAGAAUUUUGAAGAGAGAAAUCAAGCAUAGAAAUUCUAACUAAGGAGGUUUUGAAAAACAUAAAGAAAAGAAAGGGCUUGUUUUUUUGAUGAAAAGCAAAAACCUAUGGUUUUAGGAUGGCUCUGGGUAAGGGUGUAGUCAGAACAGAGGCAAAAAUAACUCAGGUUGAUCUGAACGGUGCAACAAGCUGAUCAACACAACUUAAUCCAACCUCUGUUGGCUCUAGUUUUUGGCUGGAUUGAUAGGAAGGCUUAGGUGGAAAAAUAUUUUGAUAAAAACAAUAUGAAACUGCAAUGCAUCAUGAGGUGGAAGAACAAAAUGAUAUGACAUGAUGUGGAGGUGGUCUAAAACAAAAUAAAAAUUAGCCUAAAUUAACUAACCACAAGUUUAGAAUCAAAGGGUGGUGCCAUACUUCAUAUUUCUCUCUAAAAAGACACAAAGAAAAAGACUGUAAACACUAACAUCAUACAAAAAGGGUCUAUAAGUUUUCCAAGAUCAAGUAACAAAGUGCUCCCUCAAUAUUAUUUAAAGCAUACAACAUGUGGUUGCAAAAUUUGUUAGAGCAACGAUACAAUGUUACUUGAUGGUUUCGAUUAAAAAGCAUAAUAUAGACCAUCAUCUUAAUAAAGAAAGUAAAUAAAAAGAUGGGUUGCCUCCCGCAAAGUGCUUUAAUUAUAGUCAUAUAGCUAGACUCCUCACCUCAAUCAUGUUCAUGCGAAGCCAUGGUCCUUUGUGCAAGAAUCCAAAGUAUCCAUGCAGCUUGAUGUUCUCUUUUGUAAUCCUUCAUGGUUCUCUUCUAACACCUCUUUGUAUUGGAUGUAGCCUUCUUGUGUCUUCAAGUGCCAAUGCUCUAGUGAUUUUUAUUUUAUUCUAAGCUUUUGAAUUUGAUCAUGCACGCUUGAUGAAAGCAUUGCCCAAACUCCUCUUCAUUGUUCUCAUCACCUUGUUGCUGCCUCUUCUUCAUGGAUAUUCCCCUACAUCUAGAAUAGAACAUAUACUGAAAUAUAGCUCUAUUGAAAAGUUUAUGAAAUUACCUUUCCAAUGAGUGGUCAUUCAUCUAAAAUGAAGUUCAAAUGAGAGAGUUAUGCCCGUUUUAUUGUCAUUCAUCUAAAAUGGAAUUCAAAUGAGAGAGUUAUGCCCGUUUUAUUUUAGCACUGCGUGCUGUCCGGAACUGAUUUCAGAACGUGCAACGUUCGAUUAUUUGGCCAUAACUUCUUGUAGAAAUCUCCAAUUGCCUUGAUUCUUGAUUCGUUGGAACGUAGACUUCAUGGGCUUCUGAAUAUCCAAAAAUAUUGACGGCAACAAUAGCUUGUUGUGAAUUGAUCUGGAGAUGUUGAUGAUCUUGAUCUUGUGGUCUUUGGGGCAUUAUGUCUCAAAUCCUUUAACUUCAAGGUCAUCCCCAUUGCUGCACUAGCGAGUAGCAUGUCAGCAAUGAUGCAUCUUCUCCAUAAUUCUUGCUUUAUCAAAGGUGGCAGGAUCAGAGGAGGCUCUUGCGCUUUGUGUCGAUGAUCUGAGCAGUUUUCUUCCUUAAUUACAUCACUCAAUUAGAAGCUUUUUGAGCAUCCCACUGGAGAAGAUUGGUACUAUCAUGGUGCUUCUAAUCUUUUUGCCUCCAGUCUUGAUCAACUUCAAGUCAUCAUCUUUUGUGCAGAGAGACCCUCCAAUCAUUCGUCAACAUCAUCACCACCUUCUUCGUCAUUUGCUGCUGCCUCUUCUUCAUUGAAUUCCUCUACGUCAAGUAUAGAACAUGUACCAAAAUUCUACUCAAUUACAAAGUGCAUCAAAUUCCCUUUCCAACAAGUAGUCAUUCACCCAAAAUAGAUUUCGGAUGAAAGAGUUAUGCUAGUUUUACCGUGGCACUACGUUCUGUCCCGAGCUGAUUUCAGAACACGUAACAUUGAAAGAUUUUAUCAUCACUCCUUGUGCAGCUCUCCAAAAUUAGCAAUUCUUGAUGCGUUGCAAAGAAGACUUGAUGGAGCUUUUGAGUAUUCAAUUUUCCUUUGUUGUACAUAUCUGAUUGUAGGUAGAAAAUUGAUCACAACAGCAACAUUUGAGAUGUUGAUGAUCCAACUUAUAACUCUUUGGGCAUGACAUGACCUAUUACUUGAACAAAUAAAUCUCCAAAAAACAUUAGUCUUAAAAUAAUUAAUUGACACAACAUCAUAUUGUGUGGACUUGAUAGAAGAUGAUUGCCACUAGCAAAGUUAUUACCUACUGCUAAAGAGUCGAGUUUGAUGUUGUUAUCAUAUUAUCGGGGUGAAUCCAGACUUGAUGAAAGUCCAUAUUCGAUCAUCUGGCAUCAAGCAUUUACACUUGAUGUAGCACUGGCCCAAUCUUCUGAAAGGUAGUGAUAAAUUUGAUUGCUGGAGACUCGACGUUGACGAUCCGGGCUUCUAAUCAGACUCGAUUCGAAUCCCUACAACCGCUACACCACUACUCCAUUGGUUAUCAACCAAGCACAACUUGAUUGACCUCGCUGAGAAGGCUUUCUUUGCAAGCGAAACGAAGGACAUAAGAAAAAAAGUAUAAACACGCAAUCUGAUAUUGCAAAUAUGAAUGAAGUAAAGAAGGGUUCAAGCUCUCAAUUCGAAAGGACUAAUCCACACAGUCGAGGAGAAUAAGAAUAGGGGCCCUGGAUAACUGUAAAAGGACUUGUCGCCACAGUUACAACAAAUCAAUCUCAGUUUCUCGAAGAAAAACUAGAAAACAAAACCCAAACCCUAAUGUGGCGAUGGCUACUGAAUUUAUGAGGGUUAGGUCAUGGAGACCCCCUUGGACACGCCCCUAUGGGCUCCAACACGAUACACGGGCCAACGGCCCAAAAGAUAGUGGCGCAGCACCCUGACAGAUUCUGGAUGUCCACUUGUUUUGAUGAUUUCUGUUGACUCCAAUUGAAUUUUAAAGUGGGACUAGUGCCAUUGGAAGCUCCAUGAAAUUUUGUUUCCAUCCAUAUAAAGAAUGCCCAAAAUGGACACCGUAUGCGACCUAGGCAUCAUUUUUAGUACGUGCUGCUCUUGGACUCCGAGACAGGCUUGAACUUGAGUUGCUUUGGGCCUCCACCUCGGGGACUCAAACCGAAUUAGCCUCGGGCCUCCUUCUUGACUUGGACACCCUUGCUGACCUCCUUCCCCUCUAUACCAUGUGCCAAACAUGGUCGUAUGCAUGGGUGUCAUGUCCUCAUCAUCCUCCCCUUCUUGAUGAAAAGCCAUCCUCGGCGUCGAUUGUGCUUGAAACUGAUCCUGCACAACACAAAGGAGAACGGGGUUGCGAAGACAAAGGGAAUGAAAACAACUGUGAGGAGAGAUGUGACCAUGUUCCCAAUUGUGUAGUGUGUGAUCUUGCAGAAAACUUUCAGCAAGCGUGUAGGCUCCUUGAUUGAAAGACACACGAUGUUUGUCAAUACUAUCCUGCAAAAGAUUAGUACCAACAAAAGGCACAAUAGGAAUAGAUGAUUCAUUGCAAGAAAAUUCAGCACUAACAAGCAUAGGUAGCAGCCAGCAAUGCUCCCCUUCUUGGGAGACCAAAUUACUAGAGGAACAUGUGAAUAUAUUUGUAUGAUGGCUGCUCUCUAAUUGAUCACAAUCUUGCACAACAAAAGGAGAAUUCAUAUUGCUACGAAUAUAGACUCGAUGUAUCAUAUGCUGUCCUUUGUUAUCAUAUUUGCCAAUAACAUGAUAUGUGUGUUUGGCAAACCAAGGCAAUUCAGCAUAUUUAAAAAGUCUCUCUUCCGAACAAUCUAGAUUACACAAAUUAUCAAAUUCAAUAUAACCCAAAGUAUGCAAGGAAGACAACAGUUUUAGCUCAUAAUUGGCACUAGCAAUAUGCGUAACAUGUUUAUUUUCAGCACAAGUAUUUGGUUCCAAAACAUGUAACACUGAGGCAUUAUCAAAUAAUUCAUCUUUAUCACAAGGAACAUCAAGCACAUCAUCAUGUGACAAAGAUAAAUCAAGAGAUGGUUCCACUAACGAUUGCUCUAUAAUAGCAUGAUUGGUGGAAAAAUUUAGCACAUUAAAAUAAUUCUCACCUUCCGUGAGUGUAGCACCAUGGGCAUUACCUGUGUUUUCAUUCUCACCAGGAGUAAUAGGUGCACUGUGAAGUGAUGGUUCUGAAUUUGCACAUGAGGUUGGGAGCUACUCAUUUUCAUUUGCAUCAUCCUUGUCCUCUUGCUUUUGUUCAUAAUCCUGCAAAAGGUUAUGCAUAGCAAGAGAUACAACAAUGGAUUGAUCCUCUAAAUUAUGCACCUCAUCAUAUGAAUUCAAUGCAGGAGGUGGAUUAACAAAGGAUUCUCUCAUAAGAAUUUUCAUAUCAUUCCAAGUUUGAGGUUUAUCUGAAGGACGUAAAGAAUCCCACCAAGAUAAAGCAGAAUGUCACAAAACACUAGCUGCACUUUUUGCCUUCCUCCUUGGACAUAUGAAGCGAGUUGCAAAUAUGUUAUCUAUUGCAAUUUCCCACUCAAUGUACGCAUCAGCACCUAUACCAUCAUAUGUUGGUGGAUAUGAACAACCUAUCAUUGUUAGAAGAUAGCAAAAGACAACACCAAAGUAUUAUCCCUAUCAACUAGCAACUACUGGAUGGUGGUGAAAGUGGAAUGCAAUAUCACAAGCGGCUUACCACCAUCUUGCAAGUGUUCUUACCAAAGCCAAAUAGGGCGGUACAAUCAGUUGUCGAGCUUGAGGGUAACAGUUGCAAGGUGAACCUGUAUUGAUCAGAAGUAUGUAUGUGGACUAUAGGCAGGCUCAAUAUGGUAGCAAGGAAAAACAAUAAUUCAAUUCAAAAUUUGCAAGACUGAAAAGUAGUCCCAAGCUAGUCUAUGUCGCCGGCCUAAACUCGUCCUGGACUUAGUUCAAGCAAGCAACAAAACAACUCACCACAAGGACUCAAAGGAUGCAAGCACUUCUGAAUUUUUUUAUUCUUUUUUCCCUUCUUUCUUUCUUUCCUGUUUUUUUUGGUGCGGCUUUUUCUGCACUUUUUCAGCACCUCUUUGCCUUUUGCUUGUUUCUUUUUUAAUAUAACAGAAAGUGCCACAGAUGAUAUUACAAUUAAAAUACACAAGUUUGCACUUCAGCACAAAACGAAAGCCUUGUUGUCGACUAGCAACAAGGAAACCUAUGGCUCAGCUAUUUAUGGAAACAUGCAAGGACUAGCUGACACAACACAGAUCAAGCACAAAUAAACAGCAGGGAGCAAAAGAUUGUGACUCAGAUCGACAACAAUCUGGUGAAGUAUGUCUUGUGCACGGUGUCCUUGCCAAAAGAACUCGGACUCCAAAAUUGGAUAGCAAUAUUUUAGUCCAAUCGCUACAAAGAUCACUUAUCUUUCUUCCCUCACGUUGAUAAUACUUUCCUCUUUCUAACGCUAUAUACAACAAACAAGAACAACACUCGUUUGCCCAAAUACAAAUUGGCACCAAAAUUAUUAUGAGGAUAAAUCGACUAGGUGCCAAAACAAUUAAGCAAGACCUGAUACUAAAGACAAGAAUAAGACCUAGACACGACGAACACAAUGACACCGCGAGGGACCAAAAUUCAGAAAAGCAGAUCUGAAAAGAAAAAUUGUGGGGCACAAAUGGGGUUGUAGGACAGCGGAAUUGUUUUUUUGUAGGGUUUUUUGUGGACUAUAGGUAAUUGACAAAAACAAAUCUAAAGAGAUACAAAGGUGUAUACCACACGGGUAACCUGGAAUCCUGAUACCACUUGAUGUAGCACUGGUCCGAUCUUCCGAAAGGUAGUGAUAAAUUUGAUUGGUGGAGACUCAACGUUGAUGAUCCGGGCUUCUAAUUAGACAUGAUUCGAAUCCCUGCAACCGCUACACCGCUGCUCCGUUGGUUAUCAACUAAGCAUAACUUGAUUGACCUUGCCGAGAAGGCUUUCCCUGCAAGUAAAUUGAAGGACACAAGCAAGAAAGUAUAAACACGCAAUCUGAUAUUGCGAAUAUGAAUGAAGUAAAGAAGGGUUCAAUCUCUCAAUUCAAAAGGAGUAAUUGACAAAGUCAAGGAGAACAAGAACAUGGGCCCUGGAUCACUAUAAAAGGACUUGUCGCCACAGUUACAACGAAUCAAUCUUAGUUUCUCGAAGGAAAACUAGAACUAAACAAAAUUCAAACCCUAAUGUGGUGACGGAUACUGAAUUUAUAAGGGUUAGGUCAUGAACACCCCCCUGGACGCGCCCCUAUGGGCUCCAACAUGAUACACGGGCCAACGGCCCAAAAGACGGUGGCGCAGCACCCUGACAGAUUCUGGAUGUCCACUUGUUUUGACGAUUACUGUUGACUCUGAUCGAAUUUUAAGGUGGGACCAGUGCCAAUGGAAGUUGCAUGAUUUUAAGGUGGGACCAGUGCCAAUGGAAGCUGCAUGAAAUUAUGUUUCCAUCCAUAUAAAGAACGCCCAAAUUGGACACCGUAUGCGAUCUGGGCGUCAUUUUUAGUACGUGCUGCUCCUGGACUCCGAGAUGGGCUCGAACUUGAGUUGCUUUGGGCCUCCACCUCGGGGACUCGAACCGAAUUAGCCUUGGGCCUCCUCCUUGACUUGGACACCCUUGCUGGCCUCCUUCCCCUCUAUACCAUGUGCCAAACAUGGUUGUAUGCAUGGGUGUCAUGUCCUCAUCACUUCUUUCAAGGACGCAAACAAGAAAAACAUGAUAUAUGUAAUAAAAAAAUUAGGGUUAGUCUAAAAAAUUAGAUAGAUCGCCCCAGGGUUCGAGUUGCCGAUCCCCAGCAAUGGCGCCAAAAUAGUUUGUUGACGACAGUUAGUACGCCAAUUUGUGAACCGCAAGUGCAUGGAUCAUCGUAGCUUCUCCCUUAGAGUAUCCCAUCCAAGGUUUAUCAAUCCAUGGAUUAGCAGCGAACUGACUAGGAUUAUCUAUCUAGCUAAACGGAUCUAAUCCUAUCAUGAAGCAUGAAUUGCAUAUAAAGGUAAAUCCAAUCGAGAGAUAAGUAUUAUAGAUAGGGUAAAUAGAUCACACCCAUAUAUAUGAGGUAACACAAACAAAGAUAGCAUGAGCCUAUUGUCUUCUUGUUGUAUUCCAGCCAAAGUGGUAACCAACCUAUGUAGCACCUUGAUAAAGAGUCAUCUCUCAGAAAGGCAGCUCGAAAGCGGUCUACUUUCUUGUGGUCACCACUACGAGGUGUGUGUUAACACUUCCACUUUCCCAAAGCUUUACCUCAAAUGACUCCCACAAUACUCGCCAUCAGUCCUACUUAACAUUACGCAAUCAUUCGGCCUUUUCCCUCCCACAUGCUAUCACCACACGAAGGUAAUCACACUGACUUCCUACACACUACUAAGAUGUAUCCGCAAGGCAUAGACUAAUCACCACGAUUACAUCUAUUCCUACUAAGAACAUAUGCUAGCUUAACAUAUGAGAAUAAUCAUGCAUCAUAGUAGAUCAAAGUAAGCACAAGAUUAGAUUGAUAUCACCAUCGUGUGUACAUAAGCCUUAAUGAUCACAAGGCUCGGCUCCAGAACUCCACCAUGGCUUCACCGCGCAGGGACGACCAUGGUGGCUAGGGUCUAGCCUAAGCCAUCUCCUAGACAACCUUGAAGACUUGCAGCGACCCUCAACUUCGUCUGGUGUGUGUCCCUAUAUUCAUCAACUUCUGGUGCAUGGAUCAUGAAUUUUGGGCAUACUUAUAAUCUGGAGGACACGUGGCUGAAAUAGGAAGUCGAGGGGAGCAAGGAAAACCCCAAGCCGAUCGGCCUAGUGGGGUCCAGGCCGAUCGGCCUGACCCUUCCUUUUAUCUCCUCGCACCUAACUUCGUCGCCAAGUCCCCUCUGAUGUUCUGGUAGCUUAUUUUUAUAUGCAUGUGGGGUUGGCACAUCGAUAGCUUCGGGAUGAGAUUGAUCUUUGCUAACUUUCCAAAUCUCCACUUGAUUUUCUUUGAUUCCUCUUUGAUCCCGAAGAGAUACUUGCCAUAUCUUCACAAUCUUAGCCCUUAAGUAAUCUUGGAGGAGUGCUUGCCAAAAAUGAGCGUCGGAGGGGGCCAGAAGACCCUAGGCCGAUUGGCUUGGGCUUCACCAGGGCGAUCGGCCUGGGCUCUUUCUAACCCUGCUGGCCUUCAUCUCUGAUAGGUUCGUUGCUUGUUUAUGGAUUUAUCCAAAAAUAUGCUUUUAGGUCCAAUUUCCUGCAAAAACAGAAUUUCCUCCAAAAUAUAAUGCAUAUGCAACAAUGAGGUUAUUUUAGGUGUCAAGUGGCGGGUUAGUAUAAGAAUAUGUAUGAAAACACCACUUACAUGGCACUGAAAGUGUGUCAAUAAUGAGCAUCAAUAUAGGGGUGCCUCCCCUUUUUUUAGGGAGGCCAACCGACUUUUACAUAGCGAAUUUACCCCCACUCAACCACUACAUUCCUAGAAUAUGCUAUACAUUUUGGUAAAGAAAGAGUCCUAAUCCGAUUUGUACACUCCAACUGGAUCAUGCGAUUCACACCACCCUUCCCACGUCUUCAACAUGACUCUCCCCGCGAACACCUUCGCUGGAAGAAACCACGGCGGUCCUUGAGUUCAACUUCACGAUCCCAUUGACCUCACCUGUUGUCCAUUCCUGUAGACGUUGGGCACCUUUGCAUGGAAACCGAUAGCUCGAUUCGCCUGGAAACAUAGAAAAGAACAUUUGGCACCCUCGCAGCACAUUGCGAAGGUCAUGAUAUGGUGCGAAGGUGACAGAAGGUGUGAAGGUGAUGGCGUGAUGCGGAGGUUAAGUUUUUCCUAUUCCUAAGCGUGAGGGUGAAAUCCUUGAUCCAGAUCCCCAAUAGUAGCCCCUCGCGGGCGAGGUCCAACCCUUGAAAGAAAUCAUUUGAUCUUGAUCAAGGAUAAAAAACGUCUUCCCUCAUGUGCUGGAAAGGAAAUUGAUGUGAAGGUUACCGAAAAGUCGCUUUUGUCCCUGCUUUUUUAGCAUUGGGUGUGGUUAUGGAAGCGAUGCAUUUUGAUGCCUAUAAAAGGAGGGGGGGGGGGGAGGGGGGGGGGGUAACUUUUUGCUCAUUCUCGCACGCUGGGAGACCCUCACUACCUAUUUCUUAGCUACUUUGAGAUUUGUGUUUGCUAGAACACUUGUUCGUCUGGUUGUUGCGAAGGUAUACGCGCUGCUUCAACUUAUUUUAUUUAUUGUCCUAUUUUCUUGUUUUUUAUGGUUAAGGUUUGUUUUGUUUUGCUAGACUUUGAUGUGUUGAUUGUGGCUCACACAAAGCAAACUGCGAGGCUCAUGGAUCCCGAGGAGUUAGCUGCUGCCGGGGUAGAAGAUGCGGCGCAUGAUACAAAUGCAGUUGACGAUGAUUUGGGCGGAUCCCUUCACGCGCAUGAAGGUGAUGAUGUGUCUGGCGUGGAAUCAUUGGAUAGCAAAUUUGGUAAUUCUAGAAAUGAAGGUGAAGAAGAAGAAGAAGAUUUGGAGAAUGUCGAAGCUCAUGUCGAUGAGCUUGUUGCUGAAUGCCCCAAGACCUGUUUCUUUGAUUGUUCGUUGGUGACUCAAAGGGAUAUUGAUUUUUAUGUCGAGAAAGGCUACUUUGCUGCUGGCGAUUGUAGACCUCCGGACGAUGAGGAAAUUUCGAUUCCUAAGUGUCGGGCGUACUCCCCAGACCCACGAGUAGGCCUUAGACGGCCCACUAAGGGACGUACUCGGACAUGAUCAGAACAAGGAUGGGCGUAUCCUACUCGGACUAGUCUUGUAUGUUUAUGGAAAACUAUUCGGGCCGAUACCGAGUAGAACUCUAUAAUAGUACCCGGCUAGGACUCAGACUUGUAACCCUGCCCUCCCAUGUAUAUAAGGCCAGGCAGGGACCCCCCUCGAACAACAAUCCUCAGGACCAGAACAUACACCAAUACAAACCAACACACAGGACGUAGGGUAUUACACGAUCUAGUGGCCCGAACCUGUCUAAAUCGUGUUCCUUGCAUCACCAUUGAUUCCUUGACUCUCGACGACCCUUACCGCACAAAAGACCACCUAGGGUACACCUAGGAGGGUUGCCAGUCUAAAACACCGACAGCUGGCGCGCCAGGUAGGGGAACUCGUCAAGUUUCUCAACGCGAACUCAAUGGCGAAAGUCAUCAUCAGGCCCGUCUUCUUCAUCGAAGCCGGCACCACCUUCGUUUUCGGAUCCUGGCUUUGCGUCGCCAAAGGCUCGGGAUCGUUCCGGCGCCAGAUCGUUGACACUCAGGAGAAGAAACCUGAAGAAUUGACCAGAAAAAAAA
rnacentral:lncRNA from 1 species